AAUAAGUUGCAAAUAAGAUUUCUUUAUUUUCAAAUGGAUAAGCACAAAAUCCAACACUGAGACUGACUUUGGGCAUUCCUAAUUAUUUUGAGUUCUACUGAGCUACAUUUUCUUAACUUAGGUUUUGCAGAAAAUUAUCUGGCUGAAUGAAAUGUUGGGUAAAUUGGCCAUGGAAUAAAUGAAGCUGAGUACUGGGCUUGGCUUGGAUACUACAGAAUGCCCCUUUCUUGUGACAAGUCACAUGGAUGCUAGACAAUCCGUAUUGGUAUUGAGCAAAAUGUAAUUGAAAACCUCAGCACCACAUCAUAAGAUCAUGGAAUUGCACCACUUUAGAGCUGGCAAAUCCCUUAGAGAUGAUCUAGUCUAACCACCUAAUUUUAUGGAUGAAGAAUCCAGUAAAAUACAGUUUGAGUUUGUCAGAAAAUACAUUUAACUGAGUAGAGCUGCCAGGAAUCCUUCUCCCAGCUCAGCCCCAUCAUGGGGAGAGAAAAACCAAGCAAACACUCAUUUCUAAGUCUUGUAUGUUGCACAGGACGUGUGUCUGAAGCCCUUCUCUACUUAUUUUUCUCCCAGCAGGUGAACCUGAGGUGCUUCCAGGGGCAGGAGAUGUUGGUGGCCUGUGGCCUGAGCAGGAUGUGUCUUCCCUGAACGACAGGCCUAUGAUCCCAUUAACAUAGAAGCAGAAAAUAAAAAAUUAAGACACCUUACAAAGUAAAAGUGAAGUCAGAAUUUUAAGAAUAUGUUAGAGUUUUCCUUUCUUGUCCUUUUGUUCUUCCUUUUUUUUUUCUUCUGAGAUAAGGUGUCACUGUGUCCCCCAGGCUUGAGUGCAGUGUCAUGAUCUUUGCUCACUGUAGCCCCCGCCUCCCAGGUUCAAGUGAUCUGGCCGCUCAACCAACUGUGUAGCUGGGAUUAGAGGAGUGUGCUACGAUGACUGGUUAUAAUUAUAAUUAUUAUUAUUAUUUUGUAUUUUUAGUAGAGAUGGGGUUUCACCAUGUUGCCUAGGCUGUUCUUGAACUCCUGAGCUCAAGCAGUCCACCUGCCUUGGCCUCUCAAAGACAGGCAUGAGCCACCAUGACUGGCCUCUUGUACUUAAAAAAAAAUUAUUAAAACAUAUGGUUUUAGGUUCACAGAAAAAUUGAGUGGAAGAUACAGAGGCUUCCCCUAUACCCCCUGUCCCCACACAGGCCCAGUCUCAGCCUCCCCAGCUAUCAAUUCCCCCACCAGAGAGUGCCUUUCUUCCGAUCAAUGAGCACACGUGGACACAUCAGCACCUCCCGGAGUCCACAGCCUACCUGAGGCUCACUCUUGGUGUCGUACAUUCUAUUAGCUCGGGCAGUUGUAUAAUGACAUAGAUCCACCAUUACAGUAGCCUAAAGAGAAGUCUCACGGCCCUAAAAACCCUGUGUUCUCUACUUAUUCAUCUAUCCUUCCUUCAGCCCCCGGAAACCACUGACCUUUUACCAUCUCUACAGUUUUGCCUAUUCCAGAAUGUCCUAGAGUUACAAUCAUACAGAAGUCACCUGUAUCCGAUUGGCUUUUCCUUAGGAAUGUGCAUUUAAGGAUCCCCCAUGCCUUUUCAAGGCUUCACAGCUCAUUUCUUUUCAUCAUAUUCCAUUGCCUGGAUGUUCCACUGUUUAUUUAUUCACUCAGCCACUGCAGGACGUCUUGGUUUUCUCCAUGUUUUCGUGAUUAUGAAUAAGGCUGCUGUAAACAUCCCUGUGCAGGUCUUUGUGUGGACAUGAGUUUUUAAUUCAUUGGAGAAAUACCAGUAAGUGCAGUAGCUGGAUCAUAGCUUGAGAGUAUGUUUAGUUUUAUGAGAAACCGCCCCACUGGCUUCCACACUGGCUGCACUAUUUUGUAUUCCCACCAGCAACAGAUGAGAGUUCCUGUUGCUCCACCUCCCUGGCAGCAUUUGCCGUUGUGAGCGUUCUGGAAUUUGGCUGUAGCAAUAGGUGCAUAGCAGUCCUGUCUUGUACUUUUUGGUAGUAUCUGACAGCUUGGAAUUUUAUAAUCAAUUAGUAUUCUCUUUCUAUUCUGGGUUCUUUUUCUGAGACUUGGAAACAAGCAAUUCGUGAUUGUUCUCUGAGAGGUAAGAUUUGGAAAUCAACCCCUCACUGAUGAAUCACCUCAAAGACACAGAGCGGAUCCUAAAAACUGUGGCCCAUAAUCAUGGCCUAAGAAUGGCAUAAAAUAGGAAGUUUGGUGGGUCCAUGUCGGUGGUAUUUAAGGAAAGGAAUACCUUAAAUACCGUCGGGAAGCCUGCCAUCACCUCUAGGGCAGAGGGCAUGGUUCUGGUGGAAGGUGUGUUUCCAUCAUCCUCCUGUCCUCCAGUUACCCCCAGCUGAGCCUAGUUACUGUUUAGCCAACAAUUUCCAUUUCUCACACAAAUUGUCCACUAAACAACUGUUGAAUAGCGUCCGUCUCCAUGCUCCAGGAUAACAGGACCUCAUGUCUGGUUCCAAAGAGGAAAUUUAUGGCAGUAAGACAAGGAUCCACCUUGUGAACCCAAAAGUAUCUGUAACAGGUCCAACCCUGUGAACCCAAAAGUAUCUGAGGCAGGUCCCAGUCAAUACAGAAAGAUUAUUUUGCCAAGGUUAAGGACAUGCUGGUGACACAGCCUCAGGGGUUCCUGAUGACGUAUGCCCAAGAUGGUUGGGGCACUGUUUGGUUUUAUAGGUUUUAGGGAGACAUGAGACAUCAAUCAAUAUGUGUAAGAUGUACAUUGGUUUGGCUCAGAAAAGUGGGACAACUCGAAGUAUGGUCUUUCAGGUCAUAGAUAGAUAAGAGACAAAAGGUUGCAUUCUUUUCGGUCUUUGAUCAGCCUUUCAGUGAACACGCACUUUACGCGUGAGAGUGGUGUAGAGGAAUAGUCACUGAUACCUUAUUCUGGCUCAGUGAAUCUGCAUUUUUAGAUAAACAGUAGGUCAGAGGAAGCCGUCAGAUGUGCAUUUGUCUCAGGUGAGCAGAGGGAUGACUUUGAGGUCUGCUUGUCCUUUGUCCCACACCUGUGAAGAUAAGCUAGCAACUUACAUUGCCAGGUUGAAAUUCAACAGAACUGUUUUAGGGUAAAGAUCUUGAGGCCCAAAAGGAAUUUCCUUGUGGGUAAAUUGUGAGGGAGGUGGGUAGCUUUAUUAAAAAAAAAAUUGUAGCAAUUUCAUUUAGGAAUAAAAUGGGAGACAGGUUUGCUUUGUGCAGUUCCCAGCUUGACUUUUCCCUUUGGCUUAGUGAUUUGGGGUUCCUGAGAUUUACUUAUUUUUUUGCAGCCCCAAUGAGUCUGUUGAUGUGAGUCUGCCCUUUCUGACCAGUCAGGUACUGGAUCCCACAUGGUGGAAGAAUAGCCCCAAGCGUGGAUUCAUCAAGUCAGUGAUGUGCCAUGGGAUUUUGGGGGACUAGCUUCCUAUCUCCACCCCAUAUGCACCUAUUUCCAUUUUAACUUCUACAGUUUCUAGGUAGCAUUGGAAGGCAGGGAUACCUCUUUAUGUGAAGAAAGUAUAGGUUGAUUUAAUGAACAUUUUGAGACUUCUGAGAGGACAUGUUGGAAGACAGAGCAUAAACAUUUUACAUUUAUUGAUGCUUUUGAUUUUUCAAAGCAUUCAUGUACACAUUUUUGCAUUUGCUCUUCAUGACUAUCCUCGAAGGUUGACUAGGAAGGUAUUAUUAUUUCUGUUCCACAGCUCAGAAAAGCGAGGCUUGCAGAGGUCAGAAAGUGGAGCUAGAUUUAGAGCCCAAGGGUCUUCAACCCUAACCCAGUGCUCUUCCUACAAUAUAUUUUUAAAAUUAUUUAAAAAUUUGCUAAAAGAGAACAUAAAAAUGACUUCAGAAGAGUCUGUAAUAUGGCUUCCUGAAUUGCACCAAUGGAUUCAAAUUGGGGGAAUGAAGGGUGAAGAUAAUAGGAGCCCUUAAAUCUUUGAGAUUUUUAGCAACAAAAAUCUGCCACAGACUUGCUAAUGCAAUGUUAGGAUGUUGGCACUGCGGGUUCCCACGGAGAAGCUCGUUCAUUCUAGAGGAAGACCUUUUUAGGGGAUGGGUGAGCUGAGCAGAGGGCUAGGAGCCUCCGGGUUCCACACAGACCAAGAAGCAUGGGGUGGUUUCAGAGGCUUUGUCAUUAUUUACAGAUGACAUCUGCUCUCUGAAAAUCCUGAUGCAGCCCAGGUUGCUUCUGGGUCUUCUCACUUCUCUCUCCUUUAAGGAGAGCAAGUUCUAGCCCUCCUGGGCUGUUAAGGAGAGGAGAGGACAUGGCCACUUGGCUACAAAGGAUGGGAGAAAUGAAGAACCCGGGGUGGCAGCUCUCCAGCAGGUGAAGUGAACGCACUUUAACCUCAGACUUCCCCACCACCCUCUUUACCAGGGUAAGUGGAAGUGGUAAUUAUUUUUAAGUAGCCAAAAUAUAUUAGGCUACUUUUGUUCUAUCAAUAAAUAAACAUAAAGCUCCUCCUCAAACCCAGGAUGUUCUCUGUGCAUAAAAUACAACAUACCAAUUUUAAACCUGCACUGGUAGCAUUUUUCAUAAUGGCCAUUCCCAUACAUGCCGUGAGAGGGAUGAUCUGUAGUUUAUUCGAGGUAUUCCAUUAAUUGGUGGCUGUCAACAGGAACCCAGCUGGUGAACUGCUAAUGCACUAUGAGACGAGGCUUUGAACAUUUCAUAAACAUUGUAAAUAGCCUCUGUAUAACUGAUCAUUGUUCAUAAUGGCAUUAUUAAAAUUGAAAAAAAAUGGACUCCAAUGAAGUAGGCUAAUAGAGUGCAUUUGAUGGAAAAUGUUUGCUUGUAGAUUUGUGUUUUGGACUACAUAAUUGGCAAUUUCAGGCAGGAACUGCGGUGGAACCCGUAAUGUGCUGAGCAUUCUGCAGCUCAAAUGUUAACAUCUGGGGUAAAAUAUCUUUGGGGUGCACUGCUGAGAAAAGCUGUGGUCUCCGGGUCAAAUGAUGUUUUUGCGUGAAAGGGAGCAUCAAGUUCCCAUCCUCUACUCUAGCAGUUGGAGAAAGGGCGUUACUUAACAUGUAUUAAAUGAGUCACUCAUCAACAUUUGAAGUUUCUUUGUGUGCAGAUGCUUCAGUUAAUCCAUUUCUUAAACCACUGACUGUAUUUCUCCUUUGAGUUUGAUAGGAUGCCUUUCAUUAAUGCUUAAACUAAAGCAGCAGAUGGAUGCAAAGAAAGAGGAGGGAAAUCAAUGCAGGACGACCCCUUCCCCUGUCUGCAGAGAUCCUGGGCUAAUGGGGCUCUAGAUGUGGGCAUUUUGGGCUUUUAGGGGAGUAAAAAUUGCUUCCUCUUACCCUUCUAGGUCCUGUGGCUAGUUUAAGAAUUAGAUUGAUACAAGAUAGGUUAACAAGGGGAAACAAUUUUAAUGAUGUACAUAUGCAUGGAAAUCCCACAAAAAUAGGAGACUGAAAGAAGCAGCCACAUGAUUGGGAUUUAUCUAUGACCCUGAGCCACAGAUGUGCAUGGGGGUUGGGGGCUUCCAGGGGAGUGGGAGGGGCAAAUUAUGGGAGGGUGAGAGGGGGUUUCCGGUGAAGAAAGGUUGCCUGGUGACGCAGAUAAGAGUUUCUCAGGUGCUCAAAGUUGUCUCAGAGCGGUUCUCUUCCUGGUAUAUAUACCUUAACUACUGUGAAUUUCCUUUAUAAAUGUAAAUUUCCUUUACAAAAGGGGAAAUUUGUUCUUCAUUUUAGACAGCUGAAAGGGAGGUAAAGAACUUUUUCUGUGUCAGCUGAUUCUCAAUUUCUUCUAACUCAAAAUAAUCAACAUGCCAACAUGGCGUAUUUUAAGGUGCAUGUUCUGAACUCCAGGAUGCAUUAGCCCUGCGUGGACAACUCUUCAGGAGAGUACACACCAGUGAGGCAGCAGGAUUUGUUGUAUUUAAAACACAGAUGAACCGGGCGCGGUGGCUCACACCUGUAAUCCCAGCACUUUGGGAGGCUGAAGUGGGUGGAUCACCUGAGGUCAGGAGUUCAAGACCAGCCUGGCUAACAUGGUGAAACCCCAUCUCUACUAAAAAUACAAAAACUUAGCUGGGCGUGGUGGCACGUGCCUGUAAUCCCAGCUACUUGGGAAGCUGAGGCAGGAGAAUUGCUUGAACCUGGGAGGUGGAAGUUGCAGUGAGCUGAGAUGGCUCCACUGCACUCCAGCCUGGGCAACAGAGCAAGACUCUGUCUCAAAAAAAAAAAAAACAAAACAAAAAAAAAAAUGACCACAAAACAAAAAACAAACAAACAAAAAAAAAACAGAUGCAUGAUAAACUGGGAAGAAAAGUAAGGAAAACAGAAAAUGAAGUCUUUUUAUUCCAUGAAAGCCUAGUAGUAGGGGACCAGAAGUUACAAUACUGAGGACAUUUAGAACUCUAGGUAAUUUUCAUCAUUACCAAUUAAUCUACAUGAAGCAACUCCUGAAGCAUUUUCUGGGUUCUGAGAUCCAGGAAGAUAGAAAGUUAUACAAUAUCUACCCGCAAUCACAGAAUUAUAUUUUCGUCAAUAAUGUAAAGUGUCAGCUCCUCAAAUCUUUGGCUGGAGCUGUUAAGUACAGCACAUUUGACUGGUUUGAUGCCAUUUUUCUUCUCAGGGAUGACCUCAUUAUAUCUACCUGGAGUUGAAGGAUGCAAAAGAAAAGUCUUCUUCAAUCAUUCAAAAUUAUUUUCCCAUUUACUUGCUUCUGCACCUUUACUAAAAGUCCACCUUGAGACAUAUAUUUCCUUUUCACUGCUGUGGGACUGUACUGUUAAAAAAUUAUUCUUCUGGAAAAUAUGCAUUCUAAGACAACAAUAAUUAUUUCAUUUAUUCUUCUUCUUCAUACGAAUAGAAGCAACAGUUACAAAUUAUUGUGUACCAAUCAGCAGGGCUAAGAAUUGUGUAUUAUCCCAUGAAAGCUUUCAAACAAUAUUGAAAUAAAGAUAUGUCUAUAAUCUUCAUUUUACUGGUGAAGAAACUGAAACUUAGAGAAAGGCUCUAUAAGUUGGUUUCCUAGGAAGUGGUAGAGCCAACCCACGGGGCUUCUGUAAUUUUUAAUUUUUAUUUUUUUUACUUUCCUAAUUUCUUUCUUUUUAAAAAUGGCUUGAUUGGGGUACGAUUGGCAUGCAAUCAUAAAAUUAAACCUGUCCAAGUUUAGUGUCUGCACUCGAUGAGUUUGAGGAUAAGUAUCCACCGGUGAAACCAGCACCGUCAUCAGGGUGGUAAACACAUCCCUCACCUCCAAGGGUUUUCUUCCACCCCAUUAUUAUUAUUGUUAAGUUGUUGUUGUUUGUUGUUUUAUGAAGCGUUCACAUAAGAUCCACUGUCUUAGCAAUUUUAAGUACACAAUACAGUCUUGUUAGCUAUGGACGCUAUGCUGUAGAGUAGAGCUCAUACCGCAUCCACCUGGCAUAACUGAAACUUUGUUCCCUUUGACCAUCAAUGCCCUGUUCCUCCCUUCUCCCAGCCCCUGGUAAUCACCACUCUCCUUUCUGCUUCUAUGAAUUUAACUAUUUUAGGUUCCAUAUAUAAAUGAAGUCAUGUGGUAUUUUUCUGUGCCUGGAUUAUUUCACUUAGCAUAAUGUCCUCCAGGUUCAUCCAUGUUGUUGCAAAUGACAACAUUUCCUUCUUUUUAAAGGCUGAAUAAUAUUCCCUUGUACAAAUAUGCCCCAUUUUCUUUAUCCAUUCAUCCACCAAUGAGCAUUGAGGCUGUUUCCACGUCGUGGCUGUAGUGAAUAACUUUGCAACAAACACAGGGUUCAGAGAUCUCUUAGAGAUACUAAUUUUAUUUCCUUUGGAUAUAUACCCCAAAGUGCAAUUGCUGGACAAUUUGAUAUUUCUAUGUUUACUUUUUUUUGAGAAACCUCCGACUGUUUUCUACAAUGGCUGUACCAGUAUUUCCACCAGCAAUGUACACAGGUUUCUUUUUCUCUACAUCUUCAGUAACUAACACUUCUUAUCUUUUUUUUUUCUGAGUAAUAGCCAUUCUCACAGGUGUGAGGUGAUACCUCGUUGUGCUUUUGAUUUACUGAUAAUUAGUGAUGUUGAGCACUUUUUCAUGAACCUGUUUAUCUUUUGUGUGUCUUCCUUGGAGAAAUGCCUAUUCAGGUCUUUUAUCCCUUUUAUAAUCAGGUUAUUUGAUUUUUUUUUUUUGCUAUUUGUAUAAAUUAUUUGUAUAUUUUGGAUGCUAAUCCCUUAUCAGAUAUAUGACUUGCACACUUUUUUUUCAUUCUCUAGGUUGCCUUUCUAUUUUGUAGAUUGUUUCUUCUACUGUGCAGAGCUCUAUAGUUAGGUAUAUUUUGCUUGUUUAUUUUGACAUUUGUUGUCUGUGCUUUUGGUGUCAUAUCCAGAAAAACACUGCCAAGACCAAUCAAUGACAACAAACUUUUCCCCAAUGUUUUCUUCUGGGAGUCUUACAGUUUCAGGUCUUAUAAUUAAAUCUUAAGUCCAUUUUGAGUUGAUUUUUCUAUAUGGUACAAGGAUCCAAUUUCACUCUUCCAUAUGUGGAUAUUCAGUUCUCCCUGCACCAUUUAUUGAAGAGUCUAUCAUUUCCUCAUUGUGUAUUCUUGGCACCCUAUCAAAAAUUAAUUGACUGUAUAUAUGUGUACAUUUAUUUCUGGGCUCUCUAUUCUAUUUCAUUGGUUUGUGGGUCUGUUUUUUUUAUGCCAGUACCAUCCUGUCUUCAUUAUCGUAGCACGUAAUGAAAUUUGAAAUCAAGAGGUAGAGUGCCUCUAUCUUUGUUCUUUUUGCUCAACAUUGCUUUGGCUAUUAGAAUUCUUUGUGAUUGCUUAUGAAUUUUAGGAUUCCUUUUUCUAUUUCUUUGAAAAAAAAGCCUCUGAAAUUUUGAUAGGAAUUGUGUUGAAUCUGUAGAUCCUUUUGAGUGGUGUGGACAUUAAACAAUAUUAAUUUUUCUAAUCCAUGAACAUGAAAUACUUUUCCAUUUAUUUUUAUCUAAUUUUUCUCAUCAUAGUUGUUUAGCUUUCAGUAUAUAGAGCUUUUACCACCUCAGUUAAGUUUAUACCUAAGUAUUUUAUUCUUUAUGAUGCUAUUACAACAGGAUUGUUUUCUUAAUUUCUAUUUUGGGUGGUUCAUUUUUAAUGUAGAGAAUGCUACUGGUUUUUGUAUGUUGAUUUUCUAUCUUGCAACUUUGCUAACUUCAUUCAACAGUUCUAACAGAUUUUUGGUGGAGUCUUCUGGGUUUUCUGUAUAUAAGAUCAUGAUAUCUGCACACAAAGAUAAUUUUACUUCUUCCUCUCUAAUGUGAAUGCCUUUUACUUUUUUUUCUCACCUAAUUGCUCUGUCUAGGACUCCAGCACUAUGUUGAAUAGAAGUGGAGAAAGUGGGAAUCCCUGUCUUGCUCCUGAUCUUAGAGAAAAAGCUUUCAGCUUUUUACCUUCGAGUAUGAUGCUAGCUGUGGGCUUGCCAUGUAUGGCUUGUAUGAUGUUGAGGUAUGUUCCUUCAAUACCUAAUGUGUUGACAGUUUUCAUCAUGAGACGAUGUUGAAUGUUACCAAAUGCCUUUUCUGAAUCUACUGAAAUGAUCGUGUAAUUUUUAUCCUUCAUUCUCUUCAUGUGGUAUAUUGCAUUUAUUGAUUCAUCUAUGAUGAACUAUCCUUGCCUCUCAGGGAUAAUUCCCAAAUUUACCCAGCUGGACUUCUUAAACAUUCUGUCUCUAUACUUCUAUUCACCUACACUUCUUCUUCUUUUCCUUUCUUCUCUCCCCUCUUUCUUCCUUUUCUCCCUCCCUCCCUUCCUUUCUUCCUUUUAUUCAACUUACAUUUACUAACCUUCUAUCAAAAGCUAGGCUUUAUCAAAAAUUCAAAGUUAAUCCCAAACUUAGGAUGAAUUACUUUAACUUCCAUCCUAGUAUGCCAUCUAAUAUUAGCAACACAGGCUAAAAAGAUGACAGGACUGCAGGAUUGGAGAAGGGAGAGAGCAGUGCCACGUGAAGUCACCUUGGGAAGAACGGGCCCACCUAGAGUGUGAACUCAGAGCAGAGGCCUAGAAUGAGGGUGCUUUGAGCACUUGAUUCCUAGAAACGUAAAUAUGUCAUGAGAUGAAGUGUGCAGAAUCACAGUACUUUCCAAACCUCACCGAGGAUAAGUCCCGCUUCUCUUUUCUCCCCUCUUCAAGUUAUGUUUUCCUUCAGUUUAUCCUUGUUUCUCUCUUUCCUCAUUUGAGAUGGACAAAACUCAAUGAAUCAUCUUUUUCUAAGUAUGUUAGUAGAAUAUAGUUUCAAAAACAGAAUUAAAAUAACACCGUUUAACACAGGCUAGAAUAGGGACUGGACAUGGACGUUCUCAGGUUCUUCGUGGUGUGCCACUAGCCAUUAUGUGGCCCCAUGUAAGUCAUUAAGAUUCAGGUAGUUCAAGGUUGAUUGUGCUUAAUUUAUUCAAUUGCGAAGACCACAUAGUGAUGUGGCUAAUUAUUGUUUAGAAGGUGCUGAAGCUUCUCAGAUGAAAGCCACCGUGGAGGAGCAAGAGGUCAUUACAGUAAUCACUGCUGCAAAGUGAAUUCAUUUCCAUAGAAGGUCACUUAUGAGUUGAGUCACAUUGUAGAGAAAGAGCUUAAUCUUACAAGGUUGAAUGGAGGGCAUGGUCACAUACCCUAACUACCCAUGAUCGGCAGGAAUGAAGAGCGGUGGGCAGGUUGCAGCAGGAUCUCAGAACUUCUCUUCCUCCCUGCACCUCCCUGUAAAGCUCCACUGGGCCUGAAGAACCUGUCCAUCUAUCUUGAUAAAGCCUUCAGCUUGAAGGCACCUGCAGUCUGGCCAAGGGUGCCACACAGCAUUGUGUAGGACACCCUUUGAAUACUUGUGGGUCAUUGCUAAGCCAAUUCCUCCUCCCUCCUCCUCUUUCCUCUAAAUACCGUGUUCUGGUUCUGCCUGUUUCUAGGUGGUCAUUUCUAGGUCAGAACUAUCCUAUGCCCAAACAGAAGAGGGCUUGUCUGGGUUCGCAGCAAAGAUGCCAGCACUUACAGAGGCUUUACUAGGCAAAGCGUGAUAGAUGAUAGAUUCUGUGUUUCACCCACACUGCUUUGUUUUCACUGCUGUUUUGCAAUGGGUUGUAAAUAUAACAGAGUCACUGCCAGUGCUAAUGAUCUGUGAUUUUCUAGCAAGGAGGUCAAUUGCACCGGGCACCUACCCACACUGCCUACUACCCUUAAAGCAGCAGAUCCCAUUUAUUUUGGGAAUGUGAACAUCUUACAAACUCACACAUUCCACAUUGUUCUUCCCUGCCUCCCAUGCCUUCAUAUAAAUACAGCAUCCCAAGGGAAAGAAAAACUGCCUUUUCAUGAAUCAGAGAGGAUGCUUAACGUAUUUGACUUAAAAAAAGUACUUUUGAAGACGUCAAAUCCCAAAGUAAGCAGCUUUUACUUCAAAAAUAAGCCCACUUCGAUGGGAGAUCAAAGGGAUGGAACUUUCCAAGUUGCAGUUGAAUUUAACAUUCCAAGAGUCAGGAGGGCAGAUUAAAAUAGGAUUUUGCUUGCAAUAACAUUUGGGGUCUGUUCAGCAUUGUUGAGUGCUUAAUCUAGCCGGGAAGUCUGAUUUACAGGGAGCUACAGCAGGCCUUCAGCUCCCGGAAUUCAUUCCAAAAGCAACAUGACUUUCGUUUUGAGGAAAGGCUUUGACACAGGGACUACUGCUUUCUCCCAGUAGGGGAUACCAGCCUAUUUCAAAUCAGGGCCUUUCUUUUCUAUAGCAGCAAUCGUAAGACAAUGAAAACAUCCUGUUUCAGAAAAGAAUUUGCAAAGAAGUACAACAGGAUAUUCUCAAAUCUGGUGCAAAGUGAAUCAUCUUAUCAAACACAAACUACCUGAGCUAUAUAUUGGUACUGUUUAAUUGACAACUCUAAGGACUGAGUUCAAAACACACUGACGCUGUCCUGAGAGGCCUCCGACAGAGAGAAGCAGGGCCCCCUCUAUAGAAGCCGUUUCUUGGGAAAGGUCCAGAUUUCUCCCAGCACUUCCUCCUCUAUUCUCUCUGUUAUUCAUGCUACAUCGGACGUCCCAUGCUGCGACUUCCCCCUCUUCAAAUGGAUUUUCAACAAAGUCUCUCUUUGCUAAUCAAAACUUUUUUGAUUACUUUCUUUAUCACUUUUUUUUAAAAUUCAGAAGUAUUUUAGUGGCUUGGCUCCCUGCCGUCUCUCAAAACUGUAGUGAGGUGUGAGGAGGGCAGGAGCCGACCCCGUCUGCGUCUGCACAGACCAUCGUUCUGUGGGUAUCAAAGCUGCCAUGUCCCUCCCAAGAGACACAGCAACAUUUUGUGCUACAAUAGUUUACUGCAUUUAGUAUCCAUUCAUUAUUGAAAAAACAGAUUUUUCUCAUAGCCUUGGACCUACCCCUCCCAGGAGAACAUUUUUCUGCAUAACGAUGUGGCUUAUCUUUGAUGUGGACAGAAGCCACUGGGCAUCUCUGUUUGGGGCAUUUCUUCUCUCCAACCUGCAGCGGGGGCAGCGCGUCAUUCCAGAGAGGACACAGCAGUGACGACGAGACAAAAUCGGCGUUUGGGUUUUCCAGGCCAUCCAUAUAUUUGGCCCAAGUAGAUUUACUAACCCACUACUGUCACUGAAAAUCCUCAACAGCACAUUUUUGCUGGGGACAGAGAGGGGGAAGGAUGGUCUGAAUAAGGAAAUGGCAUGUGUGCUCACUGUGCUUACGCUUGGUAGAACAAGAAUGUCAAGAAAGGAAGGCCUGGCGGGUGAGAACAGGACCCAUUGUGCUGGAAUCCUGUUGGCGGCAAACAGAGAGUUUCAGUCUGUGGUGAAUUCACACUGUUACUAGGCAUGGAAAACAAUGAGAGUUUUAUGAGACUUGUUUACACGUCUAGAAAAUACAUCUAGCUCCUUGAAGCAGAGUGUGGUGGCAAACGUCUGACAUUCAGUUACUAUGCACAAAAGAGUUCCUUCCCACAAGGCCGGCAGGUUCGGGAAGUCCUCCCGUAUUCGAGGUACCAGGAGCCAUAAAUCCAUAUUUAAUUAGCUUUGAACGAAAUGCAAGAGAUGAUAGGCUCUUUGUGCUAAAAAUGAAACCAAAACCGACCGGGUUGAUUUAUGUCUAAUUCAGAGUUGUAAUUCAAUUGAAACGACACCCUGAAUUUUAAAAAUCUCUCUGGCAAAGCCCGUCCCACGUGAAAUUCAAAUUCAGAGUCUUAGGGCUUAGGAAUCUCCAUGUUCUGAUUCUCUGCCACAUUGCUUAAGAUGUUUACUCAACCCUCUUCAACAGCUUACUUCCUUAACUGGCUUGCUUCUCAUUAAAUCACUGCAUUUCUUAGUGACUCAAAGUUAUGAAGCUCAAGUUUGAAUACAAACACGUUGGGAUUUCUUAAUGGAUAACUUAUUUGACAGUCCUUAGCUCUCGUCUUCACCAGGCACAUGUCUAUGGGAGGAGGCUGACGCUGAGUUUAAAUGUAGGCUGCUGAGGCAAAGGUUGAAAUGAAAAGGUCAAGAAAACGAUGAAUUUAGAAACUUGUGCCAGGUGGUGAAAUAGAGAUCUCAAUAGAUAGUGAAAUCUUAAUAGUACACCUGGAAAAUACAGAUUCACAAUCAAAACCUUAGCUGUUAUGCAAGUUUUACAAACAAAAAAAGAGGAAUUCCUCUAAAUUAAAGCUUCUAUCUUCUUUUACUCUAGUAAGAGCAAAAAAAGAAUGUAAAAGUUAUGAAAUAAUACUAUUUCAAUAGCAGGUUAAUGAAUUAUUUUUGAAUAACUUGAAAUAUAUGCGUGCACUCAUACAUGAUCAACUUCCUUCGGGCAGGUUGCCCAAAUGCUUUAUUCUUGCUAAGGUGUUCAUUACACACAACACCGUGUGGCCACCCUGGGCGUGGGCAUCCCUGCAAACCACAGCACAAGGUUCUCUGGGCCCCUUCGCAGUCGACCUCAAAGCAGCCACUCUUGGUGUUCUUUACGUCGACUUUUUUUUGCACAGCAGGAUGUCUUGAGGGUCCCCAGGCCAUUGUGUGCAUGAAGUGUGCUCGUCCCUCUGCAGGUGACACCCCGGCUUGUGGUGAAACCCUGGCUAGUGGAUAUGCCGGCAUCCCCUGGGAUUCCGGUCCAUCAAGGUGGCCACCGGCCACCAGGGCUUGUAAGAAACCCUGCUGGGGCUUCUCACCUCCUCACCUCCUACUCACCCCACCAGGCAUGGGAUGCAGCUUGCGUCUCUUCCUUUGGGGCAGGCUCCUUACCUUCCAGACUCUGGCUCAUUUAGGUUCUUCUGGGUCCUCAGUGUUCCCACAGGCUGUAGGAGCCUAUGAUAUUAGAGAUGAUCUGACUGUUCCUCACUGUUAGGCUGUGUAUGUCUCUCUCUAUGAUGUUUUAUAUCCUAACCAGAAGGAAAAAUCUCCAAAUACCUGAAUAUAUACAUUUUAUAUAUCUCCUUUGGAAAAAAAAAAAGCAAUGGCCAGGUGAGGUGACUCAUGCCUGUAAUUCCAGCACUUUGGGAGGCCAAGGCAGGUGGAUCAGUUGAGGUCUAGAGUUCAAGACCAGCCUGGCCAACAUGGCGAAACCCCGUCUCUAAAAUAAUAAAUAAAUAAAUAAAUAAAUAAAUAAAUAAAUAAAUAAGCCAGGUGUGGUGGCAAGUGCCUGUAGUCCCAGAUACUUAAGAGGCUGAGGUGAGAAGAUCGCUUGAGCCUGGGAGGCGGAGGUUGCAGUGAGCCAAGAUCAGGCUGCUGCACUCCAGCCUGGGUGACAGAGCGAGACUCCAUUUCAAGAAAAAAAAAAAAAGAAAAGCAGAGAAUUUAUUUAUAUUUAUUUAUUUCCCUCCCAACUACUGAAGGUUCCCAGACCUGCAGGUGGGCCCUGGAGUUGAGGGUCCCCCACAGUCCGCCCCUCCCCGGCUUCUGUCCAGCAACCCUCUUUCUUCACUGAGCCCUGUCCCCUGUCCCCAGCACAUGCUUCACUGAGUGCUGUCCCCUGUCCCCGGCACACGGGUUCCCCGCCUUGCUGUGUGUUACCCCUUCUGAAGGUAAAUAUUUUGUACCACCCUGGAGUAGGUUGACUCUUGUUUUGUAGGAUCAGGAAGAUUUAGCGAUAACUGGAGACUGUCUGAUAUAAAUAAAAUUUUACUGUAUACAUGAGAAAUAGAAGUCCCGGUAUUUUUAACCUAUAGACUGUAUAGUAUAACUAUUUUAAUUUAGACUGAAGUGUUUUUAGCACCCUCCGGCAACUUAGAAAUAUUCAUUUAGUCCUUUCUUUAUCAAGUAAGAAAAUGAACUGCUGCUAUAACAACAGUCUUUAUUAACUGACCACAGAAUAGACAAAAUAAAAACUAGAAACUUCACCCACCUUUUCUGCUUUUUACAAAUUCUAUUUAGGAAGCAUGAGUUACCUCUAUUAUUAAAUACAAUGAGCAUUGACAGCAAAGUAAUUAUAAUUUUAAAUCAAAAUUUUAGGAGAAGCGAAGUUUGGGUUCCUCAGCUAUUUAGUUUUCAACACUUGGGGAGUAGUCAUUUAGGUAAGUAUUUUUAAGGUACUGUUUGAGGUGUCUACAUGAGUGUGAGUGUGCACACCACACCUAAAAUACAGAGAGAUGCCUCUUCCACAAACUUCAGUUUAUCAAACUGAAAGUUCUUCUCAACUAAUCUGAGAACCAACUUGUAAGAAAAAAAGAAUUUCUAUUUAGUGUUGGUGGCCAACUGGAAUAUUCUUAACACUAAAACUCAAUUUUACAAAACUACUGUUUUAAAUUCUUCCUCUUAGACUCAUUGUUUUAUGUUUAAUUUCUGAUCCAAGAGAAUUUUCAGCUUCAUUUAGCAUUUUUAUUUCCUCCACCCCCAGCUGUAAAGAAAAAAAACAAACAAAAAAAAACAAAUUGGAAUUGUAAGCAGUUGAGGCAGGAAUCCAAGUGGUCUUUUCCUGCGACUCCAGCCCUUUCUGGAGGGUUCUGCCCUUUCCCCUUCAGGCAUCUGUUCUGUCUUCUGUGAACCUGCUGCCCACACGGGAACGCUGUUUCUCAUACUCUGGGCUCUGGAGGCUUUCACGUCCAUCCGGCUGUGUCCAUCCUGGGCACAUUUGCCUUAAACAUCACUUAAAGGGUUGCCAAACAAGUCAGUAAUCAAGACAAAUAAUACCUUAAUGCAAUUUUAAAGUCAAAACUAAUGCAAAAACAUCCACUACGAAUAAGAUAUUAAAAUCUUAACUCAAGAUGAGGUUAUUGCCUCUAUUCUAGUGACUUCCAAAGUCACUAACUCUGAUGAAUGCCAAUAUCUAAAAACACAUCAUUCUGUAUUCCAUUUCUAUGUUAUAUGUAAAUUUCAAUCUUAUGUGCUUAAGUUAUUCCUUUUAUUUCCAGUAUUUAUUCGUGUGUUUGGGGUAUGAUGGUGGGAGGGUCCUUUUUACACUUUUUAUCUUUUGCUACUAGCUGUAUGACAUUCAGCAAGUUACAUAGUCUUUCUUUUUCUCGAUUUCUUCUUCCAUAAAAUGAGAAUGAGUAUCUGUCACACAAGGCUAUUAGAAGGCUCGGCGAAUUGGCACCUGUUAAGAACUGAGAGCGACACCUUGCAAAAGUGACUAUUGUAUGUGUUGACCUUUAUUAUUGCUGUUUUUGUUGUUGUUGCUGCUGCUGUUGUCUUUCCUGUUCUAUUACAAGUCAGAUUCCUUUGUGUCUCACCCGUGGUGUCUGCGGUGAGGACCAAAAGACUCUCCCACAUGGUUGCCAUAUUUCUCAGCAUUCAUUCCCCUUCCACGCUUGGAAUCGUUUAGCUUUCCAUUCCUGCAGCAGCUGUACUGGAAGCUGCGUGUUGUCUGCUUUGAUGAACAUAGCCUGGGAUGCUGUGGGCGCGAAGGCAGAAGGAAGCAGCUCCCGCCAGCAGGAGGGCCCUGCUCCACUCUUAAGCCUCCGAACCGCAGCACCUUUAAGGAAUCCACUCAGCUGUGUAAAUUGAAGGAUUCCAGAAAGCAGCCUCCAGGGUGACGCUGACCUAAAAUUCUACCACUUAUCUUAGGCUAAGCAUUACAUUUUGUAUUCAACCCUCUUUUCAAAUGCCAAAACCUUUACUUUUUUCACCUUGGCAUAAAAUAAUUUAACAGGUACCUCGCAGAUGGGGGAGUAGUUGGGAUGAGAUACCCAGGAGUUCAAGAGAGUAAUUACCCAACUCUUCAAGGGAUAUUUAUUACACAUCCGGUAAGCGUUCAGCUUGUACAGGGAUCUGAAGAUACGAGGAAAUGAGCAACGCGGUUCUUUCCCUCAAAAGUUAAUGGGUAAAGAGAUACAUGGGAGAAAUGACAAAGUGUACUUGGGCUGAAUUGGGCACUUCACUUCUCUGUGCUGUGGUUUCUGUACUCUGAGGACUUAGUGUAGAGAAAUGCAUAAAGACAUUGAUUCAUUCCAGGUACUGGCACAUUGCAAGUCCUCAGGAAGUGUAAGCUGUUGUUCUUAACAACCAUAGUAGUAGCAGGUCUUAAAAGAUCAGUGAGCCGGGAAGCUCUCACAGCAAAAAGGGUGGGUGAGUGGGCAUUGAGGAAUGAGUAGGAGUUUGCCAGGCAAACAGGAGAUGGGAGAGAAGAAGAGGAUUCAGGCAUAGAAAACAGUAAUAGCAGAAGCAGAGACAUGGGUAGAAUAGGGCAGAUAGGAGCCGCAGAGAGAGUGAGCCCAGUUUCACAGUAGGAUUUACCCCACAUGGACCCUCUGGUGACCACAGGGCCCCAGGACAGGCACUGCAGGACGGCUGGUGAGCAGCUCAAUUUGUGGGGUUUUGGAAGCAUCGCACAUAAACCUACAGAGCCUUCUUUUCUUUCUCCUUUUCUUUUUUCCCCCCCAGGGGCACAUUUCUCUGUUUAUAUUUUCUCUCAUUCUAAAACCAUGUUGACAGAUAUGAUUAUUUACGAGUUCGUUAAUAAACAUUUACGGCAAGUGAUAUGGAAAACAAAGUAUGUGAUCUAUGAUGAAUCAGAAAAAACAUCCUCACAAUAUAUGUAACAGAGUGAUAUAUAAAUAUAAUGGACAUCUUUACUUUUAUAAAUGAAUGUGAAAAUAUUACAAAAUAACAAUCAUACAUAUAUAUUUCACAGGAAGAGAGUGCAAAUGCCCAAUACCUACAGGAAAAUAAGGUAACUCAUUGUAAUUUAUUUUCUCUCCUCUUCUGAUGUUUCUCCUCACCUCUUUUUUUCUUGUGAGAGCUAGAGGAUAAUUCAGAAUAAAGUCCCUGCUCUUCUGUGCUAUGCUAGACUACAAGUAUUUCAAAGGUUGAGGCUAUGAUUUCUCACAGUAACACCCACUGCAUCUAGGGCAAUGUCUCAAGUGGCGUAAACACUGAAACCUUUCACUUGUGUAACACAUUUUUGUUGCUCACUUAUAUGAGUCAGCUGCUUUUCUAGUUCUUUGAGAUACAUUGUUAAACAAAGGAGUCAAAAAUGCCUGUCUUCCCGUAGCAUAGAUUUCAUCAGAUAGAAUGAGGAAGUGGUGGUAAUGGACACAGAAGAUAUACGAGUAAGCCACACAGAAUAGAGCAAGAGAGAAAUUCUAUUUAUGUCCAACAGCAACUAUUCUGUAAAAUAAUAUUUCAAAGGCUUGGUGUAGCAGGGAGGUAAGAAGUUUAAUCAGAAAUGCUGUGACCGGAUCUGAAGGUUAAAGCCAACAUGUAUUGAUGAUGUGAAUUUGCUCACCUUAAAAAACAUUUCUUAAAAUCAAAUGAUUCUAAAAUUCUAAAUUUGGAGGAGGCUGGGAGGGUUCAAUGAGCAUCGUAAUUUAUACUUCUGGGAAAGAGGAUGUAGAAGUGAGAGAAGAUACAGACCCAGAGAGGAGGGUUUCGCUCCCAGUCUCAGAGGCAGCCUUGCAGCCUCAUGUUUCUCAUGCAUUUGGGGGCAUGGCCUUUAUAAAUCCCACUCAUCCAGGGUGACUUCUGCCCCCAUGAAAGUGGGAAAUCAUGGACAAACUACUGUUCUAUCAGAAGCCCUCACAAAACACCCAACACUUUUUCUUUUACUCAAAGACAUGUUAAAUGUUUAAUUAAUUAAUUCACUAAUGAAGCCCGUAAGCUGUGCCAGGCAUUGCUGGAACUGAUGGGGGUUCAUCCUUGAGUAACACGACAGCAACCAGUCUCCCUGGAGCUGAUAUUCCAAAAGGAACUUUUUCUAAGUCAAGGUUACAUCUGAGCAAACUCAACAUCUGAUGAUUCCUUUCCCGAUGGCCCAACCUUCUGCCAGCUGGUUAUACUGAGAAUCAACAGGUGUUGGGUUUUUCCCACUCCAUCCCCUGCCUCUCACCCAUUCUCCAUGACUGACGUCCUGAUCUUGUCCUGGGAGGCUGACCCUAAAGGAUGGUACUAACCAGCUCCCUGGCUGGCUGCCUUCCUGUGGGGUUGGCCAAUGAAAGUCACUGGCUGGAGACAGGAGGACGGAGAAGAGGGAGGAUGCGGUAUUUUCUCUUUGCUCUUGGAGCAUUAGCGCACGGGCAGCCCCUGUGUCCAUCCAGGGUGUUAGUGGCCACCGCUGGUCGGCUGCUUCUCCGUAGCUCCAUGUCCCACCGAGUGCUGGCAGCUCCAUUUCCUUCCUUGCUCUCUCCAGCCUUCCUGCUAUUGCUGGGCUCAAGCGGCCCCAGCACCCCUUCUGAGACCCUUAGCUCUGCCCCAAAAUCUGUAAAUAGUCUUUCCAUCAGUGUCUCUCCUCUGAAAGGUAAGAGUGCAAUUCUGCUGCCUGCCAGGCCUCCGCCUGAUAAUCCAGCUUUGCACCAAGAAUGGGACUCUUGGUGAGAAGCAAGGAGAUGAAUGCAUGCUCUAAGCAUUAAAAUCUCAGGCAAGGCCAUGCUGAUGUACAGCUCAUGUGGACAAGUGAACACAGAAACGAGAGUGUGUAUGCGGAAUCCAUCACAGAGCGUCCACAGCCUGUGGUGACAAGUUCCCCCGCAGGAGAGCAAGCUGGGGAUCACAUGAGUGUGUGUGUGUGGAAGGCACUGUGUCUUUUUCGCACAUCCAAGAAGGCUCUUCUGAGAAAUGGGCUUUUAGGAAUUACUUGAGUCAAUAAAGUUUUGGGCCCAAAGACCUAGUAUCCCCCCGAAAGUGUGAAGGUCCAGAGAUAAGAAAGAGUGAUGAUAUCUAGUCAAAGCUAAAGCUGAGCCAGUUCCCCAGAGUGAAGAGGAAUGAGAACCUAUAGAACUAAGACCCUGGAGGGAAGGUGAAGAUUUAUGUCAUUGUGGGGAUGGAUGUGAGCUGUUGAGUACUUGGGGCUUUAUGGGGAGUCUAAUGAAAUGCCAUCAAAAGACCAGCUGAGGGGGCAUCACACUUACAUUUGUGGUGUUGUGGAUGAGGCUAUUGUCUGACUGAGAGGGGCUGGAGGGGGAGUUGAGGAAUUAGUGCAGUCCCCAGGCCAUGGGGGCAAGAUCUUGAACGAGUCCAUCACAGGCCUCCAUGUGAAGAACUAGAUUUGAGAGACAAGUAAAACAGGAUUGAGUGCAGCACCCAAAGGUUGCUUGUAGAACAAGAGAUAAAGUCACCCUGAGCAGAACCCAGAGCGUCUUGUUGGGGAGGUUCUUGAUCACUUUAACAGGACACUUAGGAUCAAGCCACAUCCCUGAAGGCAGGAGAUGACCGCUGCCUCCAGCCUGUUGGGGCUCAGCUCUGCGCUGAGGCUUUUCAGAAAGGCUUGUGGGUAAAUCGUUAGAAAGAAUGGGCCGCAGAGACAGGCACAUGCACUUGCCUGUAUGUAUCCUUUGUGGUUGAUGUUGUUCUUUGAAGUCUUCUAGAACUUGCUAUAAUUGACCAAGUCUUAUGAUUGAAAGAGUGAGGCUUUGAGGCGUCUCAGACCUAAGGUCAAGGGCAGCUCUGCCCUCACUGGCCAUGUGACUCUGGGAAAGUGACGUGGCCUUCGUUUACUAGUCUAUGAGGUGGGGAUAAUAACAGUAAGAGCACAGCACUGUGGUAAAAACGGAUGGCUUCAGGUGAACCUGCUGACUCACAGCGGGUUCCCUGCGACUUCAGUUCUCACUCAGAAGACAUAAUCCAAACUGUCUAGUGCUUAAUGGGUAUGUUUUCUCUCCCUGUCUGCUUCAACCCCCUGGACUUGCCCCUAAACCUCCUCCACCCCCCAAAAACUGUAAAUACCUUGAGUUUAGGGGGACACCUUAUAAAUAAGUAUUCCUGCGUGAACUGUCCAUCGCCACAGGCUCUUAGUAAAGACUUGUUGGAUUGCAUCGGAUUGCUAUCCACACUCAGCAGCCUGACCCUCAGCAAAGCUCAAGGAUUCAAGGUGAUGGGCAAAGCAGGCAGUUUUGAGUCCUACUGGGAAGCUGGAGUGGGUUGGGAAUGCCGGAACCUCACUUGGCAUGUUCCAAAGCAGAAGCUCUUGGUCUUGACUGAGUCUUAGAAUUAGCUGGGGUUGGGUAGGGGAGGUUUAAACAUCUCUGAUGCCCAGGCCUCACUCCAGAUCCAUCACAUCAGACUCUCUGGGGGCAGGACCCAGGCAUAAGCAUUUCACAGCUCCCUGGUUGCUUUCUAUGUGGAAUCAGGGUUGAGAAACUCUGUUCUAGUCCACAGUAUCACCAGCAGACAUGGGGAAUUACAGCCAUGUCAUAAGUAACCCUUGGACUGCACUGCCUCUGAUAAGAUCCACAAGGUCAUUGCCUUUCUACAAGUCAUUGAUGAUGGGAAGCCCUGAUCAUUUUCAAGAUCUCAGUCAUUAAUAUUGUGGAUUGAAAAAGAAAUAUGUAGAAACAGGAACAAAAUACUUUCAUUAUUUCUUAUCCUUUGGCAUACAUUGAAUUAGAAAACAAACCAUCUAAAUACUCUCACUUCAAGUUUAAAUUUUUGUGAACUCCGGAAAAAUAGUUUAUUUAUUAAUUCAUUUAUAUACUCACUCGUUUAGCUACGAUCUUCAGCAAAUUGUAUGUGGAUUUUCCACUAGAACAUAAGACAAGAGGGCAUUGCCUGGUGUUCAUUCACCAUGUCUCCUUCACCCGUAACAAUGCCGGGGACACCUCAAGUGCUUGUAUUAUUCUAUGCAGGCUGCCAUAACAAAUACUACACACUGGGCAGCUGAAACCCAGAAAUCUAUUUUCUCACAGCUCUGGAGGCUGGAAGUCGAGAUCAAGGCAUGGGCAGGGUCGGUUUCUCCCAAGGCCUCUCUCACGACUUGUAGAUAUGAUCUUUCAUCGUGUCCUCACGGGGUCAUUCCUCUGUGUGUCUCUGCAUAUCCAAAUGUCCUCUUCUAAGGACACCAGUCACAUCGGAUUAGGGUUCAUCCUAAAAUAACCAUUUUAACUUAGCCACCUUUUAAAAUGUCCUGUCUGAAAAUACAGUCACAUUCUGAGGUUGUGGGGGUCAGGGCUUCAGCGUAUGAAUUUAUGGGGGAGGGCAAAAUUGUGUUUAUAACACUGCUCGAUGCAUACAAAAUAAAAUGAAUAGAUGAAAAUAUUUGUAACAAUGGAAUUGGAGAAAAAUGUGAAAAUUCAUUUGGGGUGCUUGUUAGAUCUCCAAAAGAGUAGGUUUGGGGUAGAAAUGCUGGAAAUUCAGUGGUGGUCUGGGGUGAGCUUCCUUGAAACUUGAUCUGUCUUCCUUGGAAGGCAUGCAUCAGCCCAUACCUUAGAAUUUGACAGGAGACAAUAUCAAGGAAAACUUUCUCAUCUCACAAAGAUGGGAAAGAGGAAAAGUGAUCUGCCAUCUCCCUGUGUGUAGAGGAGGGCAGUGGUGCACGGAAUAGGAGAGCCAGCGGAUGCAGCCACUUGCCCUGAAAAGUUUGCAUGGGCAGCUGGCGUGGGCAGCGAUGCUGCUGUGACAGAGGCCGAGGUGCCACCGGUGGUUCUGAGACGUGUGGAGAACAUUUCACUCUUGGGAGCUGCUUCUUAGUCACCACAAAACAUCCAUCAGAAACGAAUCUGCCCAUGUCCUGCCCGUGUGCUUCUGCAACAUGUUGUAACCUGACACCGUUUUUGCAUAAAGUUUGUAAUUGGACCAUUGCACCAAAGAAACCUGAAAAGCCUGCCGUGAAUCAUCAGGCACGGGAAGAAAGAGAGUGAUGUCACGGAAAUCUCAUUAAAGUGUCCCCGUGCACAUUGGAGAUUCUUCGUUCUGUGCCACAGUCAGGAGAGGGGAGAAAACCUUUCCUAGGUGAUGCUCCCUUGAAGGCUGAGUCUGAGUGUUUUAGGUAUUUCCUUUUAAAGAAAUCAUGCACUAUGACAAACGAAAGUGUGUAUGAUUGCAUUGUUACUUUCCUGUGCGUGGCUGGACACACACUGGCGUCAGUCCUUGCCUGGGAAACAGUGGCAUUCUGUACUUUAUUGGAGUGCAUUCUUGGGAAGCAUUUGUUUGAGAUCCUCUAGGGUCAUCUAAGAGGCUCCCAUGGCAAAGUGGCUGAAGAUAAAAGUCAAGGUGAAUCUAGCAGCUCAAAGUUUUCAUGGGUCAUUUAUGAUGGGUGUUAGGUCAUCAUCCUUGCCUAUAAGAUUGGAAAUUAGGAGGCAGACUGACGUUUAAGCAAAUAAUUAGUAGUGUAAGUAAAGUUAAUAUGAAGAAUAAGUCAGCUGGGCAUGGUGGCUCACACCUAUAAUCCCAGCACUUUGGGAGGCCAAGGCAGGAGGAUCAAUGGAGCACAGGAGUUCCAGACCAGCCCAGGCAUCAUAGUGAGACCUAGGUUAAGACCUCGUCUCUAUUAAAUUUGAAAAGAUUAGGCAGGGGUGGUGGUGCCUGCCUGUGGUCCCAGCUACUCAGGAGGCUGAGGUGGAGGGUUGAUCGAGCCCAGAAGGUCGAGGAGCAGUGAGCCAUGAUCAUGUCACUGUGCUCCAGCCUGGGUGACAGAGCAAGACCCUCUCUCAAAAAAAAGCCAAUUUGAAUGUUCUGUGUAUGUAUGUCUACAUGCCCAUGUGGUAUGUGUACACAUGUGUAUGUGGAUGCCUGUAUGGUACAUGUACCUGUGCCUGUGUUUGCAUAUGUGUACAUGCAUGUACACGUGUAAAUCUUUAUGUGUAUGUAGGUUUGUGUGCAAGAAAGUACAUGUCUAUAUGUGUGUUAACAUGUGCAUGUAUGUGUGCACAUGCCUAUGUGUACACACAUACAAUGUGUGCAUGCAUGUACGCACCUAUAUAAGCAUGUGUGUGCAUGCUUGUAUGUGUAUGUACAUGUGUGUGCAUAUGUGCAUGUCUGUGUGUGAACAUGUGUGUGCAUGUGUGUGCCUGUCUGUAUGUGUACAUCUCUGUGUACACAUACAUGUGUGUAUAGGCAUGUAUGCAUGUGUGUGGCUGCCUAUACGUGUACGUCUGCAUGUGUCCACGUAUGUGUGUAUAGGCAUGUAUACAUGUGCAUGUGGUUUGGAACAGGGAGCUGCAGCAUGACAGGCAUGGCAUUGUUCAGAGAAGAGAAGUGAGAGAAAGCUCCUGAACUCCUCCUCAGGAAGGCAUCAGGAAGCGCGGCCUCUGCCUAUCGGGAUCUCACCACAGGGCUCUCCUCCCGACCCACUCCGCUGUGAGUAGAAGGGGGACAUUGUCCCCACCAAGCCCCUGCAUCCAGUUCUUUCCCAUCUGCUUGCCUUUUUCUCUGCAGGCUCCUGUCGGAUGUACAGAGCCUCUUCAAGGGUAGUCCCUGUGACUUCCACCAUGGGGUUGAGAGUGUAGACUGAGUUUUAUGGAAAUAUCUCACGUGGUUCCACUUUCUCUGUUGGGGCCACUGAGCAAUGCAUUCCUUCUGGGCCCCUGUGGCCUUAUUUUUCUGUUUUUUUCUUCACGCUCUAUUGUUGAAGGUUCUAUGGUUUCAUGUACUUUAUCCCGAUAGCAUGUUGCCCCCUCAUAGCAGCUGGUUAUUUGGCCCUGAUGAGGUGGAGCUGGGGUUCCCGUUCCGGCUCCAGCCCUGGGCUGUUUGAAAUUCACCCCGCCCUGGCUCUGGUUUCCUCUCCCUCUGGUUUCUAGUAAGGGGAGCGCCAGUCCAGUUUGAGCUCCACUGUCACUGCCGUCACCUUCUGAUGGAAACCUGCUAGUUGUAAAGUCACCUCCCUCCAUGCUCCAUGGGAACGCUUGACGACUCCAGAUAUCCUAUAAUUAACUGCAGGGCUUGACGGGGGACAGAGAAACUCCACCGCAUGUUUAUUUUUACAAAGAGGCAGCCGCACAGAGGUUGCUGAGCACACAUUUAUGCUGAAACACUCGCCUAGGCAGCCCUCUUCAUGGCCUGUAGGAUGACAGUGAGGGCACUGUUGCGUUCAGGAAUUGCCACAGGAAAUGACUUUAUGCAAAUAAUCCCAGGGGAGAUGCUGUAGGCUCUGAGAAAGCCGUAAUUACAGCUUCCACCCGGGCAUUUUCAGUGAUCAAGUCUCUGGAAUGUAAUCUUUCCAGGCCUUCUGGAACUCGGAGUGAUAAACAAUCAUUUGGGAUAAUUGCCCGAGAGCAGCCUCCACUCUCCCAGAGGCCGUGGGGCAGAAAUUCCAAAUCCCUGCCUCUGAGAAGGGGGUCCUUUGGCCACCUCCCUCCGCGGUCCUGGCCAACAUGUCUGCAUCUCUGAAAUGGAGCUUUCCUCUCUCCUGGGCUGUUCGGAAACCGCUUUCUGGGAUAGACAUCUCCAAGGAAGAGCCGUGUCUACUUUGUUUCUUCCCUGCCUCUCACACCCGGUUCAAUGUGAUACCACAAAUAUGGCGAGCUGUUUGAAAUAAUUUGCAGAACCCAACACUGAAGACAAGCUCCAACCUUCCAGGGUAUAUUUUGAGUAUUUUAGCACAAGUGUCAAGAUUUUAUGCGUUACAGUAUGCUCAUGAUAUCUUCCCUGCGGUUUAUUUUGGGCGAGAUAAAAUCUGUAGCAAUUAGUUUCUCACAAGUCUAUUUUAUGCAGAAGAAUCUGUUAUUUCCUAGGCGUGUGAUUUCUUUGGUUUACCUUUACCAUGAGUGUCUUCCUUCCCAGAUCCGUGCUCCCCCUUGGGGUUGGCAGUUGUCCUUCGCUUCUGCCUUCUGGGCUGUGCUCUGUCCCUUAAAUGCUGUUUGGGAAGAUGUCAAGUGCAAAUGAGGAAGCUGCUGUAGGUUAGUGAGCCAUACCCAGGACCAAAAUAGAAAAGUGCUGGUACCAACAGGAAAUGAGAGAGUGUGUGUGCAAAGAUGAGGCUAUGGUUGGGAUUUUGUAUUUUAAUCUUGUCUGAAACGUGUGUAUUUCUGUCAUGGGAACCAGCAAAGGACAUAGAAACAGGUAGCGUAAGACCCCUUAAGAUAAAGGGAAGGAGUCCAUUAUUUGCAUAGAGCAGGUGUCUAUGGGCGGUCCACUUUCUCUCUUUGCGUUUCUUCGAAUUCUUCAUUUUUACUCCAUUCAACCACUGGUAAACCCUUGGUCAAACUGUUAAUUGAGACGUAAAUUCCAUUGUAGGUAUCCCUGCGAUCGAAGGAAAUAAAAAUUCUGUCUCUCUGGAAUUAGGAAGAGCAUGCAGAACGUUGAAAGGGUUUAAGAUGGACUAAGGUGUGUGUGAAAAUGCCUCUUUUCAAAAAACCAGAAAAGAGAGCCUGCACUAAUUACAUGAUUGUGCUUUCUUUUUAAAAAAGUUUCCAAUUUUACUUAGUUAAAUGGGAGAGAAACCACAGCAGAUGAGGCACUCUGGGCCUUUUUCUUUUUUUCAGCAGUGGAGCAGCAGAAAUCAUGGAUCACAAGUGUCUCUGUAAUCAGGCUGCACCGAGACAUUUCUCGGCAUUUCUGAUGUUUCAACCCUACCCCACCUGCCAGGAGGAGGCUCCAGCCCGCCAGGAGGGCAGGAGGCCGUUGCUGCUGCCACUCCAGAACCUCAUAAGGGUUUAUUGUCUGCCCACAGUGUAUUUGUCAAGGUGGGCACCUUGCGUCGUGGGGCACUCUGUUUUUUUUUUCUCUCUUUCUCUUUCUUUAUAUAUAUGCAUACACAGACACACACACACACACACAAACACACACACACACGGUCACUGCAGUUUACAAAGAAAAGAAAAGAAAAAAAAGAAGAAAAGAAAAGAAAAAAGGCAAACCAAUUCCCCUCUGUCUGGGACCCAGAUCAGAGCCAGCCUGCCAUGACCAGUCUGGAAGAAGGUGGCAGAGAGGUGGGGCAGCUUCCCGAGGCCUGGGAGGUGCGUCUCCAUGGCAACUGCGGGGCUUUCCCAGAUGAUGUCACACAUCACACAGGAUUCCUGAGAUCCACCUGGAGAUUGGCUGGUGAAGGAUCACUGCCUUUUAUCUUGUUCCAACUCUUUAUUUGCGCUAUAGACAGGCACUGUUUCUUACCUUAGCUCCGAGAGCAGUUUCUUCUUGAUACCUAAACUGCUGGGCUGACCCCGUGUAUCCUAGAUUCUUUACAAGGGGGAAAAAUAUGUUUUUUAAACAAACGUGUUACCAGGGUGAAGUCUGAGGAGCUGGAAGGGAGGGAGACAGGGGCUUUGCUGUCCUGAAGUGAUGCCUUUGCUGUGGCGUGACAGCUCAGACUGGAGCCGGGCCCCAGGGAAGGGACUAAGGAGGUGUCUGUUGCUUUUCCAGCUCUCCUACUAGCCGAUCAGCUCUUCUCCCAGGUGGACCUCCUGAUCCUCCGGAACCUCCUGGGUCCUGUCCCAGCAGCUGCAAUUUGCAGAAGAGGAGAUUGGUCAGGAGGGAGAUGCCGUGGCCUCACUAGCAGCUGCAGGCUCUUUGCCUGUUUGUGGUGUAAAUGUUUGAGUCUCCCCCUAAUUCACAUGCUGAAAUUCUCACCCCCAAGGUGAUGGUGUUAGGAGGUGGGGGCUUUAGGAUAUGAUGAACUCAUAAAGGUGGACCCCCCAUGAAUGGGAUUCGAGCCCUUUUGAAAGAGAUCCUGGAGAGCUCCCUCACUCCUUCCUCACUCCUUCCACCACGUGAGGACACAGUGAGAAGCCGCCAUCUAUGACCCAGGAAGCAGAUACUCACCAGAUACCAGAUCUGCCAGAACCUUGAUCUGGGACUUCUGACCUUUAACACUGUGAGAAGUGACUGUGUUGUUUGAAAGUCACAGUAUAUGGUGACAGAACACCACAGGGGACUCAGACACGGCCCCCAUGCUUGCUACAGGAAGGCUGCAGUGGAGCCCUCUUCCCUCCUUGAAGUCUGGAUAUGACUGAAAAACUGUGGGUUCAAGUGUAAACAGGCUUGUUCUGUGAAGAUGGACCUUUAUUCUGGCAGAUUUCAGCGUGUCUUGCUUGUAUUCUCAAUUGUGACUUAAGAUGGGUGUCGCUGGCCCAGGGUGAGACAACAGGAACUGGCAUGGAUGCGGCUGGAGGGUACGCACCCUUCUUAAGUGGUAAUAGGUGAUGUUCAUGGAGUGUACAUUCUGAGCCAAGCAUUAUUUUAUUUUGUUUUUUAAUUAAUUCUCUUUAUAAGUCUAUGUGAAAAGUGUUCUUAUUAGCCCCAUUUUAAAGAUGCAGAGACGGAGACACAGGGAAGUUGCAUGAUCUGAGUGCCUUAUGGCUGGUGCUGCAAGAGCUAGGAGAGGAGCCAGGAGGUCCCCAUCCAGUGCCUGCACCUACUGCCAAGCUGUCCUCCCUGCCAGGUCACCACCUGAGAGCAGAAGCUGAGAGAAACUUGCUCUCUGCCCUGGUGGAGGCUGCAGGCCCUAGGAGGGAGGUUGACUCCUUGCCCCACCAGCUCCAUGAUUCUGUUUUGUACGGGCCCCACAUAGCACAUCCAUCUGCCCUGGGCUGAGAGAAGAGGCAUCAGAACUUUGCAGUCAAUCAGUUCCAAUAGCUGACUAAGACUGAAUUGUGUUCAUGACCAGCACUACUUGAAGCAAUAUAGAAGAUGUACUUUGAGUCAAUCAGGGAACUCUGCAGGCAACGCUCAUGUAGAAAAACAGAAAAAAAAAUCAAGGUAGAAGAAUACAAAGCAACUAAAAGGGCACUCAUGCAGAAGCCAAUGCCAGGUAUUCUCCAUCGCUGAUAGAUUUAAGUUGCUGGCACGAGGCUAGAAGAAAAGGCAAAAUGAAGCAUUUAAAUAAUUCAAUUUUUCACAAAAGUACAUGUUAAUUCCACAUCUUGGCGAUUGUGAUCAGUGCUGCAUAAAUAUGGGGUGCAGGUGUCUCUUUGGCACACUGAUUUCCUUUCCUUGGGGUGCAUACUCAGAAGUGGGAUUGCUGGAUCAGAGUUCUACUUUUAGUUUCUUGAGGAACCUCCAUACUGUUUUUCACAGUGGCUGUUCUAGCUUACAUUUCUAUCAACAGUGUACAAGAGUUUUCUUUUCUUGGCAUCUUUGCCAGCAUUGAUUUUUUUCACCCUUUUGAUAAUAGCUGUUUUAACUGGGGUGAGAAGGUAUCUCAUUGUGGUUUUGAUUUGUAUUUGUUGAUUAGUGAUGUUGAACAUUUUAAAUAUAUUCGUAUUUGCCAUGUGUAUGUCUCCUUUUGAGAAAUAUUUAUUUUAUCAUAGCACUAUUCACAAUAGCCAAGACAUGGAAUCAACCUAAGUGUCCAUCAACAGAUGAAUGGAUAAAGAAAAUGUGGUACAUAUACACAGUGGAAUACUAUUCAGCCAUAAAAAGAAGGGAAUCUUGUCAUUUGCGGUAGUGAGGAUGGAACUGAAGGACCUAUGCUAAGCGAAAUAAGCCAGGCUCAGAAAGACAGGUCAUGCAUGUUCUCACUCAUAUGUAGACUCUAAAGAAGUUGACCUCAUGAAGGCAGAGCAUAGAUGAUGGUAACUGAAGGCUGGGAAGGGUGGAGAGAUAAGGAGAGGUUGGUUAAUGGGUACAUACAGUUAGAUGAAGAAAUAGGUUCUAGUGUUUGAUGAUACAAUAGGAUGACUAUAGUUAGCAGUAAUUUAUUGUAUAUUUCAAAAUAGCUAGAAGAGAUUUGAAGUUGAUAUGGUUUGGCUGUGUCCCACCCAAAUCUCAUCUGGAAUUAUAGCUUCCAUGAUUCCAAUGUGUUGUGGGAGGGACCCACUGGGAGAUAAUUGAAUCAUGGGAGUGGUUUCCCCCAUACUGUUCUCGUGGUAGUGAACAAGUCUCAUGAGAUCUGAUGGCUUUAUAAGGGGAAACCCUUUUCACUUGGUUUUCAAUUCUCUCUUGUCUGCCACCAUGUAAGACAUGCCUUUCACCUUCCACCAUGAUUGUGAGGUCUCCUCAACCAUGUGGAACUGUGAGUCCAUUAAACCUCUUUCUCUUUAUAAAUUACCUAGUCUCAGGUAUGUCUUUAUCAGCAGCAUGAAAACAGACUAAUACAGAAGUGCUCUCAACACAAAGAAAUGACAAAUGUUUGCAGUGAUGGAUAUCCUAAUUACCCUCAUUUACCAUUACACAUUGUAUGUGUGUAUCGAAAUAUCACAGGUUCCCCAUAAAUAUGUCCCAUUGUUUUGUAUCAGUAAAGUGGAAGAAAACAUUGAAAAAUAAUGACAAAAAGUGACAAAUGUUUGCAGUGAUGGAUGUCCUAAUUACUCUAUUUGACCAUUACACAUUGUACGUAUGUAUCGAAAUAUCAUAGGUUCCCCAUAAAUAGGUACCAUUAUUAUGUAUCAAUAAAAAGGAAGAAAACAUUGAAAAAUACGGGUUAAAUUUUUGAAUGAAACUUUAUUUUCUGUUGUUUUUACCUCCCCCAAUCCCCACCACCAGCUCUGAAGUAUUCAGACAAAAUUCCCUCUUGAGUAUUAUUAAUAAGGAAGAUACUGGGUGAUGAGCAGAUGACAAACCUCCUCUGAUUGCCCGUCCUGGGAAACCUUUCUGCGGCAUGUCGAAAUGCACCCCUCCAUGUAAGUCAAGAGCCCAACACUAAUGACAAGGCAGUACAAGCUCCUCCAUCUGGGGUCAGGCAGAUAAAGUCCGAGUUCACAGUUUGUUUCUUUUAUGCAGUGAAGAACAGAAGAAUGAAAUGCAUAUCAUUUGUACAAUUCCCCAGCAGUAUUAUUUCUCAGAAUCAGGCCUUCAGAUACAUUGAAAGAACAAAAACUGUAAAGUUAUGGUCUCAGUAAUGUUGUAUAAGUGUAUCAGCCAGCCGUGACUGACAUCCCUGCAUGAAAUGUAUGGAUCCUUCCAAGACUCCGAUAUAAAUGGGAACCACCUCUCGCUUUUAUGUGGAGGUGGGUGCUAGAAUGCUGCAGGCAGCACCACUAAGGCCAAGAGACUCUGUCUUGGAAGCUAAUCUCCCAUGUUGGCUUUGAUGAACCCCAGUUCUAGGAAGGCCUCCAAGAUUUUCAGUUUAUCGAUUGUUCCUUGUGUUAGAGCAGGCACUUAGCAUAAAUCCUGCCUAUAGGUCAAACAACUGUGAUGUUAUCAUACUUCAGUUGUCCUGCAUGUCUCUUCUGAACCACCCUUUCCCUGGUACAUGAGCUCCAGGUCUGGGGCUAAUGGCGGGGAUCCAUUCUCUUGUCUAGUCCCCUAAGUCACAGACGUGGCUUCUGUUUGUAAGACACUGUUAAAUGUUUCUUUUUAAGAGACUGGAUUUGCCAGCCUCUUUCUUUGGCCUCUCAGCCUCCUUGGACUUCGGGGACAGGUUUGCAUAGACUUGCCCACUGUGAAACAGAAGGUAGGUGUUGAUCACUACAACCCUCAUGCAAAUAAUUGCAAAUAAUUGGCUCGUUUAAGCCCCAAGUUCUACAUUAUUGGCCGUAAAAAUUGAAUGGUGAAGUUUAACCAGUUGGUUAUGAAUGUAGUUUUUUCUUUCAAGGCAAUUUACCUAUUUAAGCCUCAAAUGCUUCAUCAAUUAAUUGAGAAUGGUAUUAGUGCCUAUAUAUUUGAAGGUGUUGUAAGAUCCAAAUGAGAUAGUAUAUGUAAAGAAAUUAGUACUGUGAUAAAUCAGGUAUCAUGUAGAUACGUGAUACUAUAGAUAAAUCGUAUAGUUUAUGAUCCAUAAAUACUGUUAUAGGAGUAUGGCUGUGAUGAUUUAAUCUGGAACAUCUUAAAACUGCCCAUAGCAUUUGCUCAUGGAGGCAUUAACAUAUAUGAAAAUAAUCUCCGUCAUGAUCAACUUUUAAGCAGUGUAGUUUUCCAGUGAACCCUUGAUGAAGAUAAAUAAGUUACCAGAUAUACCCCUAAUUAAGCAAAUGAAUUUAUUUGCUCCACAGUGUUAUUAGAUAUACACAACUUUAACACUGGUUUUAGAUCAUAAAGUAUUUUCUCCUGGCAACUGCAGAAAGAAGAGCUUUAUGUCUCUAUUCUGAAUUGAGGAGGUAUGGUUGGCAAGGGGUUGGGGAAGGCUUUCGUUUAUUCGGAAGUCUUUUUGAAUCCAGGCAAAGGUUAAAUGUUUCAUAUACACCAUAGAAUACUAUGCAGCCAUAAAGAAAAAAAAAACCUCAUGUCCUUUGCAGUGACGUGUGUGGAGCUGGAGGCCAUCAUCCUAAGCAAACUAACACAGGAACAGAAAAUCGAAUACCACAUGCUUUCAAUUAUAAGUGGGAGCUGGACGUUGAGUACACAGAGACUCAGGGAAGGAAACAACAGACAUCAGAGUCCACUUGAGAGUGGAGGUGGGAGGAAGGAGAGUAGAGAAAACUACUGAUUGGGUACUGAUUACCUGGUGAUGAAAUAAUCCAUAUGCCAAACCACUCUGACAUGCAAUUUACCUAUAUGACCAAUGUGCACAUGUACCCUUGAACCUAAAAUACAAGUUAAAAAAAAGACACAUAUUAAAAAUCAAAGGGUCAGAAAACAGUUUUCUUUCCAUGACCCCAAAUCUGUCUGGACAGUGUUCCUGCUGCCCUAACUUUCCCUCUGAAUAUAUGUGUAUGUGUAUAUAUGUGUAUGUAUAUACAUAUAUAUAUGUGUGUGUGUAUAUAUACAUAUAUAUGUGUGUAUAAAUAUAUAUGCAAGUUCUUUAUAAACUUAAGUCUGUAGCUUGUGUUGAGUUCAGACAGCUAGUCCAGCUCUGCCAAUUCACAGAUGUUCCAUGGAAGCAGAUGAUGGCUUAGGAUAUGGACAAACUGAGUGUGGCUCUAAUAAAGUUGUUUGUUUUAUAAUUUAUACCUCGCUUUGUAAGGUAGUCUAUCUUUAAUAGAAAUUCAAACAUUCUGCUCUGUUGAGACACAUAAAAUUAUUUAUAAUAAUUCUUUUGUUCCCCUCAAAUAAAGCCAUGAUUUAAAGUUCAAACCUUGAAGUUGCCUGUACCUAGGUUAAAAUCAUGAUUUGAUACACUCCUAGCUGUAAUAUCCUAGAGGAGAUACUCACCUUUCUGAAGCUUAGUGUUUUUAACCUAUAAAAUGAGCAUAACUGUACCUAUCUGUUAGCUUUUGUUGUUCAGGUUGAAUAAGAUAAUCUAUAUACAAAGUAUUUAGCAAGUUUCACCUAGGUUAAACACUCAGAGAUUAGGAGUGUUCUUGUUAUUAUUUGGAUCCCUGGUUUGUGGCUACAAUUUAGUAGCCCGGGGAAUAUAGGCUGCAGCUGAACCACGGAGAAGCGGUUGUCUGAUGCGCUCGUUCACUGUAAAAUACUGCAACACCAAAUGACCUUCACCAGUGACACUGGAACGGUACUGAAGCAUUAGAGUAAGCUCUCAAUAAGUAAGAUCCAUUUUAUUACUAUUAUUAUCAUCACCAUUGUUGCUAUUCAGUCUAACCUGGAAAUGGGUUGUGGGAAGUUUAAUUUAUUUUAAAAAUUGAAAUGAAAGUCAAUACAGACAUUAAUUCUAUAGCAAGAGGUUAUAUUAUUUUAAAUGGCUAAAAAGAGGUAGAUUAUUCUGGGAACAGAAUUUGCCCAAGAAGCCAGUAAUUGGUUGUUACCCAGGGUUAUUGUCCAGGCGAUACAGACACUUUGAGUAGCUCUGUGCAUUCGACAUUGUAACAGUGAGUGAGAAUAUUAUCUAGAAUGUGUGAGAUGCCUGGAAAUUGAUGAUGCUGGUGGAAAGCGGAGGGAAAGGCCACUCUGUGUGAGAAGCAUCAGUGCGUUCGAAUGAAAGAAUCACUCCGUGAUGUGUAGGCUAAUCUUUAUACAUCUGCGAUGACUGACUCACCUACUUACUAAAAUGCCUAUCUGCAAAAUAACUUUUCAGUUGUAAAUCUGAAACCAUCCAACUUCCAUUCCCAAACUUUUCCCACUGAAUCAAUAGUUUAUAAAAUAAUCUCUAACAGUAUAAGCUUUCUUGGAAACACAAUUAUCACAUUACAGUCAAACAUAGUGUAUCUAUGCUCUUUUCAAAACCAAACAUUGUUUCUAGGAAUGUAAUGCAAAUUAACUCUAUAUAAAUACAUUUUAAGUACUUUUUUAAAACUGAUUUGUUUCUGAAAACUAGUUUCUGCACCAAAGCUCAUGAACAGAGGUGUCUUCAGUGGGAUUAAAUACUGUCUCAAGGUUGGUUAGCGCUCUCAGAUGAAGCAUCUCAUUUGCUGUCAUAACAAUGAUACCUGCCUGACCUUAUAAGAACAGGUAUCAUUAUCUUCAUUUUCAUUUGGGUAAGUUGAAGUUUAGCCGAGUUGAAUGACUCAUCUGAGGUUGUUCUCUCUCUCUCUCUGAGGCUGCCUCUCCACCUCUUUGACAAUCCUCUCUCCAAACCUGUUUUUGUAUAUAAAGAGGACUAAUCUUUCUGGUCUAUCCUAAUGUCCACUUUUGUACCCAGGAAGAGAUUAUUUCUUUGAACAUUUCCAUCACAGAACAAAUAAUUAUAUAAGGUUUUAUUGUGAAUUCUCAUAAAAUAAUGUAGCCCAAACUCAGAAUUUUCAAGAACAUAACUCAUGUCCCAGAGCACAGAUGAUAACAAAAUACGUGAACGUUUUUGUCUCGGUUCCUGUUAACACUGAAAACUUGGUCACAUCGUAUUUUCAAGGAGUCAAGGGCAGAUUCCACGUGCCGUCUUCUGUAUUGCAAUCACCGAAGGUGUUUGGCGGGGAGCCCAUGGCUCUGUGUCUUCCUAAGUUCUUGUGCUUUUUCCUGUCUGCUGUUGUAUUAACCUUACUUAAGUAACGGCGUUGAGUGUGAGCUACCUCCUUUCUUGUUAGAAGUGCGUGAACGUCAGGCAAGCCUCACGCCGCCUGACUGGGGAAUGCUUGCCCUCACUCGGCUUUUACGGGAUGAUUUCCAUCACAGUGUUACAUCACAGUGUAUUCUAAGAAGCAUUUAGCUUCAGGAUGUAUCAGAGUGUUUUCCAGUAAAAGCACGUUUCAGGCCAUGAGAAAGAGGCUGUGGAUGAACCACACUUGGGAUUCCGACUCCUGCGGUGCUCCCAGGUGGAGGAAGUGGCGAAGGGGGCACUGAAUGUAGCCUUGGGACAUUCCAAACGGGCGAUCACCACAGAGAAAGUCAUUUCUUCCUCUCUUUAGAAGCAGCUGUGUUUCCUCAAGAAAGUGACUUUAUCUGGCUAUUCCAUGGGGGAAAGCGAGCUGUCUCAAAAUUAGCCUUAUAUGCUGUGCGGUAUUAAAGGAAAAUUAUACUUGGCUCACCAGUGAGUCAUCGUACUGGUUUCGCUUUAUUUUUAUUUCUUUUCUACUUUAGGAACUGAAGCUUGAGGGCAACUGUAGGGGGAAGGUGGGGAGGAUGGGAAAGAUGCAGAGAGAGCCUGCGCCAUGGUGGUCACGAGACAGAGGAGAGCAGAGACAUCCCGGCGGCAUAAGCCUGAGACCCCAGGCAGGGCAUCAGCUCUCCGAGCCUCAGGGGCCUUCCCUUUGAGGCCAUUAGCAAAGGCGUGCUGGUCCUCAGCACUAAGCUCACAUCCAGUGGACGCUGUUCACUGCCAUCAGGGUGUGUGCAUUCAGCGUGGCUGGCAGGAGAAUGACUCCUUAAUACUCUGCCGAUUACGCUACUUACUUAUUUGUAUUAUUUAUUUUUUGAGACGGAGUCUCGCUCUGUCACCCAGGCUGGAGUGAGUAGCACGAUCUCAGCUCACUGCAACCUCCAUCACCCUGGUUCAAGCAAUUAUCCUGCCUCCACCUCCUAAAGGAGCUGGGACUACAGGUGCGCGCCACCACGCCAGGCUAAUUUUUGUAUUUUUAGUAGAGAAGGGAUUUCACCAUGUUGGCCAGGCUGAUCUCAACCUCCUGACCUCAGGUGAUCCUCUCGCCUUGGCCUCCUAAAAUGCUGGGAUUACAGCCGUGAGCCACAGUGCCUGGCCCAAUUACUCUCGAGUAAAAGAACAGUAUAGAUGUGACUCACUUACAAAUCCACAUACAUACAUCUGUUUAGACUCAAAACAUGUGGGACUACAUUUACUCUCUGCUAUUUUGGGAACUCAGCAGGGAAUUUGCCUAAGAAAAAGUUUACACCCUCAGGCCAGAAAGGCAACUGCGCUCAACCCAGAGUCCUGUAAAUUAAUUUGAAGUCUUUUGGGAAUAAUGCUGAAACCAAAACCCAAAAGUUUCCCCUUUUCCCUUUUGGAAAAUCAAGGAGAAAUGAGAAAAAAGAAAAAUUGUAAAGACCAAGCAUUAGAAAUAAAAUCCCUUGACUUGGACCCAAGAUUAGAAAAGAAGUUAAAAGAACAUACCCUUCCUUUAUCUCUCUGCACAUGUGUAGGGUAUAGAAGCAAUAAUCUUAUUGUUACAAAAUACAGACAGUAAAACUCGAAUUAAAUGGAGUGUUUGGGCAAAUCAUUACCCCGGAUUCCAAUUUGAAGACAAAGGUAAUACCCUCUAAGCACCAUCAUUUAAAAUCAACGAAUUUUUAAUUAUAAAUUUUACUUAAUAAAUCCUUCUUCUAUGUAUUUUUACUGUCAGUUUUGUUUUCUUUCUCUGAUUAUAAAAGCCACAUGUGGUUAACACCAAGCAGGAUCAUUUGUAACGUCUAAUAAAGAAAACUAAAAAAUUACUCUUCAUCCCAUAACCCAGAAAUAACCACUCUUCAUGUUGUAUCUCACCUUUGGGAAGAGCAUUCUGAACCCCGUUCCUGUACCCUGGGGGGAGUCGGAGGUGUGAUUCACAGCUCCUUGGAGCUCUCAGCCCUGUGGGGCAUGCAGAUGACAAAGCAGGAUAAACGCUACUCAAGACCUGUCCUGAGUGUUAGGAAUGAGACAUCCUCCCAUUCAGGUGGAAGAUAAAGGGCAGAAGAGAGAGGCAUUUCCAGAGAGAACAGCCUGGAGGGUUUCAGGUAAAACAGCACCUGAGCGGAGCCUCAGAAGUGGGGAGAGAGAAAGGAGGUUUCCAGGCAGAGUAAGCAUCGAAGUCCCAGCUCAGCCCCGUGUCCAGCGCUUACUGGGUGAACUGGGGAGAGGCAAGGCUGGAGCUUCCAGGUGUGGGUGGCUACAGGUCAGAUCUUAAAGUUUUUGCAGAUCUGGGCAAGAAAUUCACUUUUUUUUCUUUUUUCUGCGGAAAUAAUGUGAAGCCAGUAAAUGUUAAACAGAUAACUAAAAUGAACGCAGGUGUGGUUUAAGGACCUGAGUAAUGAUCUGAUUGAGAUAGAGGAAUCCAGGAAAGGAAGGAGAGGGAGAUGCGUAGAGGCUCAAAGGUUUGGUUCCUCCCUGUGGAACAUCCAAGAUUGUAAGACAUUUGGUUAGCAGCGCUGUGCUGGGGUGUUGAGGGUCUCAAGCUCAGGGAAGAGGGGUGGAACAGAGAUACUUACUUGUGAGAUAUUAGCGUGACUGGAUCCUCGAUUUAGUCAUCUCUGCCAAGUUCCUUUUACCAGGUAAAAGAACAUUUUUGCAGGUUCUUUGGGUUAGGAAGCAGAGUAUCAUGACCAUUGUUUUGCAAAUCAAUUUGAAAUGUUAGAUGGCAUGAGCAGAUUCCUUGAAAAAUACCACUAAUUCCAGAACUAAAACAAGAAGUACAAAAUCUUUAUAACUCCAUUUUUAUGGAUGGAAUUGAACUUGUAAUUUGAAACAUUCUCAAUAAGAAAAGUCAAGUCCAGAGGACUGAAUCAUUCAAUCACUAAAAACACUGCAGGGAGAGCUGACACUAACCAUCCAUGAACUCAACCAGAAAAUGGCAAAGGCAGGAACGCUUCGGACUCUCUGCAUGAGGCCAGUGCAAUCUUAAUAACAAAACUUCACAAAGACAUUGUAAGAUAGGAAAAUUACGGGCAGAUUAUUCUCAUAAGCAGAGAUACAAAACUCCUAGACGAAAUAUUAACAAACCAAAUCUGUGGCAUACAAAAAGAAUUAUACAUUACAACCAAGUUGGGUUUAUUCUAUAAAUGUGUGCCAAGAUUUAAAAUUCUAACAAUGUGAUUUAUUAUAUUAUCAUGAAAACUCACAGGAGCAUCUCGGUAGACACAAAAUGAGCACUUGAUAUUUUCAACACCCAUUCAAAAUAAAAUUGGUAGCAAACUACAGAGAGAGAUUUUGUUUAUCUAAAAAAAGGGUAUCUCAAGAAAACCCUACAGAGGUUAUCAUACUUGAUAAUAAAACUUCGAAAGCUUAUUUUGUUUGUUGUUGGAAAGACCACAGCGUCUACUACAACUUCUACACGAUAGUACACGGGGUGUUCUCUUCACUGCAAUAAGGCAAACAAAGGAAAAGUCAUGAGAAUUGGAAAGAUAAAGUAAAACUGUCAUUUUGCAUUGUCAGCAUGAUUGUGUAGAUAGAAAAUAUAUUCGGAUAUACAGAUCAACUAUUAGAAUAAGUCAGUGAGUUUAACAGCAUUACCGAUGAAAGGCUAAUGUGAGAAAUCAGGUGUGUUUCCAUAUACUUUAAUGAACUGUGUAAAAAUUUUAUUUAAAGUGAAAACUUUUACAGUAGCAGAAAAAAUAAAAUUUCUAGGAAUAAAAGUAAUGUGUGCAAGAGUCUUUUACACAGAAAACUGUAAACAUUACUGAGAGAUAUUCAAGAAGUCUUAAGAAAAUAAACAGCAUACAUUAUUGAAGGAUUCUAAGAAUCAAUAUUGUAAUUAAGUUUAUUCUCCUAAAUUGAUUUAAAAAUUCAGUGUAACUCCUCUCAUAAUCUCAGCCCUUCUAUUUUACAAAUUGAAAAGCUGAUCCUAAAAUGUGUAUGAAAACAAAAAGGAUAAAAAAUAAUGAAGACAAAUUGAGAAUAUAAAACAAGCUUAGGGGUCUUUUACUCUCAGAUCUCAAACCUUGUUAAAGCUGCAGCAAUGAAAAUGGCAUAGUGCUGAUUGGUGUGAGAAUAGACAAAUAGGUCAGUGUCAUAGAAUAGAGUGCAGAAGAAAACCCACGCUUACUAUUCACAUGAUUCGUGGGGAAAGAAAGAAGAGGGGAAAAAAAACUCUUUGCUAUGCAUUGAGGGAAAGCAAUCUUUCUUAUAAGUAUGGAUUGUUUCCAUUAUAUAUCCAUAUUUUUAAAAAGCCUUUGAUCUCUACCUCACACAAUAAACAAAAAUCAUUCCAGGUGUUUUGUAUUGAAAUAAGAAAAAUCAAAAAUCUUUUCUAAAAGCGGUCAUGAAAAAAUACUGAGAAGACCUUGAAGAAAUCAAAGAUUUCUAAAACAAUAAACAUAUACACAGAGGACUUACCACAGAAGAAAAAAAGCCUGAAAACUAGUGCUUUAAACUAGAACUCUGUGUUACAGAAUAUACCAUUAAGAGAAUCAAAAGGCAAACCACAGUAUAGAAGAUAAUUAUGGUAUAUAUAUUCAACAAAGGUUCACACAUAGAAUAUAUAUAUGAAGAACUACUACAAACUAACAGGAAAAGAACAUUCAAUUGAAGGCAAAAUGGGCUGAAAACUUCACUGCACACACAUCCUCCAAAUAAGUGCUCUGAAUGGUGGGCACCAAGGAUCAUCUGAGUACAAAUUAAAAUGACAGUGAAUGAAUGAAAAUGAGACAGCACACCUGCCAAAAUGGCACAAAAAAAGCAAAAAAAAAAAAAAAAAAAAUCUGACAAUUAAAAGUGUCGACAAAGAAGAACUCUCAUUAACUCUGGCCAGAGCCUCAUCUACCUGGAAAGGGUACUUUGUGGAACUAUUUGUAGUGUCUACUAAAAGGAAUUUAGGCUUACCCAGUGAACAAACAUUCCUCUUCUCUGAAUGUACCCAUGAGAAAAGAGUGCCUAGUACCAAGAGAAAAGAUAUUGAUGAAAAUGUUUAGAGUAGCUUUUUCCAUAAAUAGCCCCAAGCUGGAAACAGCUCAAAUGUCCAUGAAUAGUAUUACGCUAUAUCGUGUUUAUAGUCAUACCACGGAACGUAGACAGCAAUGAAAAAUAACUACAGAUGCACACCCAUAAGACAGAUUGCUGAGUCAGUAUACUCUCUUUGAUACGUAUAAUUCUAUUUAUAUAAAGAAAAAACCAGUAAAAUAAGUUUAUAAUGACAGACAUCAGAAUAGUGGCUACCUAUAGUGUUUUGUUUUGUUCUGUUUUGUUUUGUUUUGAGGCAGGGUCUCAUUCUGUUGCCCAGGCUGGAGUGCAGUGGCAUGAUCUUGGCUCACUGCAGCCUCUCUGGCUCAAGCGAUCCUCCCACUUCAGGCUCCCCACUAGCUGGGACUAUAGGCGCACACCAUCACAUCCAGCUAAUUUUUGUAUUUAUUUAUUAUUCUUUUUUUUUUGGUAGAGAUUGAGUUUUGCCAUGUUGCCCAGGCUGGUCUUGAACUCCUGAGUUCAAGCACUCCUCCUACCUCGGCCUCCCAAGGUGCUAGGAUUACAGGCAUGAGCCACUGUGCCUUGCCUGGUUACCUUUUGAAGGGCUAUGAUUGCAAGGGUAGGAAGGAGGGUUCCGGAAUGGUAAUAAUGUUCUAUUACUUGAUCUGAAUGAUACUUAUAUUUAUGUGCUAAUUUUUCUCUAAAUCAUAUACUUAUGACAUGCAUAAUAAAGUCAAAAUAUGUUAAGGUCAAAUUAAUAAAGGGAAUGUCCUAAAUGAAGAUAUUCUGUCUGUGAACAAUUAUAUAGUUAUAUGAGAGAAAUUGCUGGGCAUAAUAGCUGUAACUUUAAUCAUUAUUAAAUAUUAUUAAAUAAUAAGUCAUUGUUAAAUCUAUUAAAUAGAUUUCUUAAAUUGUCCCUAAUUUUUCAUGAAGGUGGUCUGUAUCCAUUAGCCAGGUGCCUGAGUUUAGCUAAUUUUGGUUUUGGGCAGGAGUUGGGAAAGUCAGACUGCUAUCUGACUGAUUGUUCAUAGACUUUAAAAUUAGUCUUACACAUACCCUAAGAUUUAAAAAAAAAAAAAAAUGACAACAGAAACUGAAAUUUCCUGGAAACAGCCGUCAUUUGGGAUUCAGAAGACAAAAGACAUGAUUCAAAACCCUGCCCCUUGCUCUUGACGGGCGAUCCCUGCCUAGCCCUGAAAAGUCUCCCUGUUGUCCUGGCCCCAGUCCCAAGGCUGUGGCAAUAACAUGCAUUCAAAGACGUGUUUGCUGGAAGAAGACAUGUGAAGCAUGAAUGGAAUUUUGCCUUGGCGAUAACGUCGAAUGUGCUGUUCUGCGAUCCUGUACCAAUAGGGCACCAGGCCCGCUCUGAAGUCCGCUAAUGGCAAUCCCCCUUUGUUCCCUCAGGGACACACAAAGCCACUGUUCCCAUAGCAACCCUGCCAAGUGAUGUCAGAAACCAGGGUUCGGCCUUGAAGGCUACAACACAAGUGCGGUGUUGACCAGCUAGCAAUGACGACAACCCGAAGACAGCGCCGUGCCUCCAGCAACAGAAAUCAGCAAUGCACGUGUGUGCACACACUGUGUCUUGUUUUAUGCUUAAAAAUUGUGAAUAAUCCAUUUUUAAGUGUGUGUAUUCUCUAGAAGCCUAUGUUUCUCCUGAUGUGUGUUUUAUGCUUAAAAAUUGUAAAUAAUCCAUUUUUAAGUGUGUAUAUUCUUUAGAAGCCCGUGUUUCUCCUGAUGUGUCAUAUCACUUGGAAAAUCAGAUUUCCUUUUGCUUUCAUGAAGUCCUAUUUUCUGAACUUGAAGAUGAAAUGAUUCAUUUGCCCAAACCCUUAAAAUGUCCUGACUUUAUUCCUUAGGGAGGUUCAUCAUGUUCAGAGGAGAAGAGAGUGAAGGAUUGUUUAAUAAAGACCAAUCAUGUAAAUUUUAUGAUAUACAUCAUCGUUUUAAUAUACAUAGUUAUUUGACUUGGAGAAUUCACAGUAAAGAAGACAAUUAUAGAAAUAUAUUAUGGAUUUUUGGCUGGGCACGGUGACUCAUGCCUGUAAUUGAAGCACUCUGGGAGACCAAGGCGGGUGGAUCACCUGAGGUUGGGAGUUCGAGACCAGCCUGGCCAACAUGGUGAAACCCCGUCUCUACUAAAAAUACAAAAAUUAGCCGGGCAUGAUGGUGGGCACCUGCAAUCCCAGCUACAUGGGAGGCUGAAGCAGGAGAAUUGCUUGAACCUGGGAGGUGGAGGUUGCAGUGAGCUGAGAUCGCAUCACACACACCAGCCUGGGCAACAAGAGCGAAACUCUCAAAAAAAAAAAAAGAAAAGAAAAGAAAAGAAAUAUAUUAUGGAUUUUUAAAAGAGAAAAUAUUUUAUGAAAAUUCUAACCUCACUGUCAAAUAGCAAUCGGCCUCUUUCCUUCAGUUUCCAGGGAAAUCAAUAGCAGCUCAAAUUUAGAAGUUCUGCUUUGAGCCUUUUCAAAUCACACUGUGAUUGAGCAUUUUACGUGUGACACCAUUAGCCAGAGGAACAAUCCUGGUUCUGUUGUGUUUUUUUUUUUUCUUUUUCAAUAGAUUUUAGAGAGAAAAUGAGAUAUUGAUUGAAGGGUAAUCCUUAACAUAGAAGGGAUUGGAAUAACUGUUAAAUUUUGCAGAUUCUUCAGUUAAGCUACUGUGAAAGUCUUGACGUUAGCCUACAAAAAAGCCUUUUAUUACAAAAUCCAUACUUGCUAUAGUGCUGUCUUUUGAUACUGCAGUUUUGUUUCUGUAAUAUAUUUAUUAUUCAGAACAAAUGAAAUUCUCUAAUGUAUUUUGCUUGUUAAUGUCAUUUACCCACAAUCUAUGAAAUGACUAAAUUUAUACAUAUAUAUACACACACAUUACCAUUUAUGCAUCUGUAUAUUUUAUGUAUCUGCACCAGUGAUAUAACAAUAAUUUUUAUUCCUAUGUUACAUAAACACUUAGUAGUAAGUCUCAUUCAACUUCACAACCCAUGAAAUAAUUUCUGUUUCAACCUAUAUGAGCCAAGGGGAAAUUGUUUAAAUAAUAUAUUUAUAUUUCAUAUUUUAAAAUGGUCUCUGUCUUACCAAAAAAGUGACACAGGCAUACUGCUGAGAUAAGGCAAAUGUGCAGCAGUCACAGGAAUAGCAGUGCUCACUGGGUGCUGGUACAGUUUCAGGUAUUGGGUUGGGAGUUGUCCAAUCAUCACCUUCUUUAAUCUUCACGACAACUCUAACAUCGAGUGCUGUUGUUCCCAAUUUAUUGGGGCAAAAAGACAGGUUACGUCACUGGCUGAAACAGGCUGACCUCAGUGUCAAAUCCAGGUUUUGCUGGUCACAGAAACAAAGCUUUUAAAAAUCUCUCCAAAUACUACCUCUAGGAUUCCUGGAGGCCAGACAACCUAAAGACCAGCAGGAGCCUCUGACACUCCAUCCACGCCCCCACUACAGGGAACUGGUGAUUACACGAUGAAUAAACGCAUCUUACAAGAAUGGGAGCCACCACUUAGGGCCAAGCUAUUUGUGACUAGAAAGCAAACAAAAGAACCUGCUCAAGGUGAAAUUUGAUCGUUGCCCAUUGACUCUCAGGUGACAUGGCCUCCAAGUAUAACAGUGAAUCCCCCGAGGGCCAAAAAUUGCCUUGGAAAAUAUGAUUGUGACCUCUAUUUCUCUGUUGCCAUGGAGUUAUGCCUCUUGUCUGUUGAUGGAAGGUCAAUCAUUGUAUUUACACGCAGUGAACAGUGAACAUAUAUAAUGCCUAUGGUCUAUUAUUAUUUCUUUGCAGGAGGUUUAUUACAGGGUUUGGUAUGCAAUCUAAAUUAAAUGUCUCGAGAAAAAUAAUGCUUUUAAGUUUAGGCAAUUUUAGAGAAUUCUUUGAGUGAGAUUCCCUCUUUAAAAUUCCACUGAAUUUUCUGAUUGCCUUUGAAGUUGUUUCUGUCUGAAACUAGUCUAUUUAUUUCCUUUUUAAAGGAGAUUUUUUCUUUUCAAUCAUCUACUACAAAAUAACUUUCUUUUAUGUUGAUGAGACAUUAGAUACAAUUAUUUUCUAAGUCCAUCUCUGUAAACAACUUUGUAAUUUUUAGCCUUUCAAAUGUCAUUAUCAUAAACACGAAUCAGCACUGGUUCUGCUCCUUGUUGGCUUUGAAGCGGCAUUUAAAAUCCCCAUGGCUCUGAAGCCCUCAUCGACCUGGGUCACCUGGGUGAGUAAAUUCAGCCAGCAAGUUACUGUGGGUUCCACGUUAUCGUUUUUCAAAUUCCUGGCACUGCUGAUACGUGCAAGCUGCCCACUUUGAAAAUGGAAUGUGCCAUUUCAUCCUACUCAAAAGUGGGUGGAGAGAAAGAAGUGUUUCACUGAGGGUAUUUGUGCGAGUGGACUGCGGAUGGUGGAGGAAUCGUGCUUCGCACUGUGGCGGCUGCUUUUUGGCCAUCCUCUCAAUGAGCGCUUUAAAGCUGAGUCCAUUAGAUUAUAUUUUAGGCUCAGGGGUCUUAUAGGUCAUUUCACUCUACACUCCUCUUUGAAUCCUGGAAAGAUUAAGUAUGAUAGGCAACUUAUUUAGUGCUCUUGCCACCAGUGUUUUGAUGUGUCAGUCAAAAGCACAUGUCGUUGAAGGUGCAGUAACCUCUGAUGGGCUGUGUUCUGCUCAGUGGAGCAACAAUAAAUCUUAUUUUUUCCAACCCUUGGCAGAUACCUGUUAAAUAAGCUUUGUUGAUUUCUUCCCACAUUCUCCCUGUUGGGUCGGGGUUCAGACCGUGUUAUUUUGAGCAAGUCACUUCACCUCUCUAAGUCUAAUAAAAUACAAAUAAUGGUGACACCCUUGUAGAUGGCUGUAAAGAUGCAAUGAGCACCGGUCCAUGAAGCACUAGGCACAAAACACAAAUUAACUCCCAAAUAUUUUCAGAACACAAAAUAUUCAGUCACGGCAUGUGUAGAGAACAUGUGUCACUCUGCAGUUGGCUUGUGAUGGAGAGCCUGCAGCCUGGACUCGGCUGCGCUGAGAGCUGAAGGAACCACAUGGCUGAGUGGUCUUGGGAGCCCCAUCUCCUGCCCAGUGCACCGAAGCUGGGACACUGAGGCUUAAGCUACUGGCUUGUGCUGGGAGGUGAGAAGGCUCUGACCCAGGGUGAAUUCCAGAGAAUGCACCGUCUAUGUGUAAGCACUGGAUAGCAAUGCAUAGGAAUUAUCAAGAUGUGUUUAUGUGUGUGCAUAUAUUUUUAGAAGUUUUAAAAAAUAUGAAAAUAUCAGCUGGGCACAGUGGCUCAUGCCUGUAAUCCCAGCACUUUGGGAGGCUGAGGUGGGUGGAUCACCUGAGGUCAGGAGUUCGAGACCAGCUUGACCAACAUGGAGAAACCCCUUAUCUACCAAAAAAAAAAAUACAAAAUUAGCCGGGCUUGGUAGUGCAUGCCUGUGAUCCCAGCUACUCGGGAGGCUGAGGCAGGAGAAUCGCUUGAACCCGGGAGGCGGAAGUUGCAGUGAGCCGAGAUCGCGCCACUGCACUCCAACCUGGGCAACAAGAGUGAAACUCCGUCUCAAAAAAAAAAAAGAAAAGAAAAUAUCAAUGUAUUAAAUUUGGAAGACUGUACCAUUGGAAAAAUCCUGUAGUCCAAAAAGUUAUUAGAAUCUAUGUUUUUUUCUAUAUGUAUACUUAGGUAAAGAAACAGUGUACAGGGCUGAGUGAGGACUGAAUUCUAGUUCUCACCUUGCCACGAUGCAACUUAGAUGCAUCUUUUUAAUCUUUCUAAGCCUCAGUUGUCUCAUAUGUGAAAUUAAUAGAUUAGGCCACAUAAUCUUUAAAAUUCCCUCUACUGAUAUUUUAUGGUCCCAAAAAUAUUCUUGGCAUGCAUAUGAGAGCUGAGAAUGUCCACUAUGAUUUGUAAGAUUAUUUUAAUACCCCCAUGCUUUAACUGUUCGAGUUUACCUUGUUGUGGAUAUGAUGGAGUCUAGCUUGUGCUGUGACUUUUCCCCACAUUUGCCCUACGUCAGAGGCUGGCUGAAAGCCAGCAGGGGUACAUUCUAGCAUAGGUGUAAAGACUUACAAAGAGGCAAAGUAGAUUCUUCUAUACAGUAGUAUCAUUGGACACCCCGUGGCUCAUGCCUGUAAUCCCAGCACUUUGGGAGGCUGAGGCAGUCAGAUCACCUGAGGUCAGGAGUUUGAGACCAGCCUGGCCAACAUAGUGAAAUCACAUCUCUACUAAAAAUACAAAAAUUAGCCGGGCGUAGUGGCACAUGCCUGUAAUCCCAGCUACUCAGGAGGCUGAGGCACGAGAAUGGCUUGAACCUGGCAGGCGGAAGUUGCAGUGAACCGAGAUCGGACCACUGCACUCCAGCCUGGGGGGCACAGCAAGACUCUCUCUUAAUAAACAGACAAACAAACAAACAAACAAACAGUAGCAUAGACAAAACUCAAAUUCUUCUUGCAUUUAUAGCCUCCUUCCUUAAGUAUGAAAACCCUUUGCAAUUUUUCAGAUUCUCUGGACAGAAAAAAAAUUUAUUUUCUUUUAGCUACCAUAAUGGAUUAAAUUAUAAAUUGAAUUUCCAGGGCUGGGCACGGUGGCUCACACCUAUAAUCCCAGCACUUUGGGAGGCUGAGGUGGGUGGAUUGCUUGAGGUCAGGAGUUUAAGACCAGCCUGAUCAACAUGGUGAAAUCCCAUCUCUACUAAAAAUACAAAAAUUAGCCGGGUGUGGUGGCGUGUGCCUGUAAUCCCAGUUACCCGGGAGGCUGAGGUAGGAGAAUCACUUGAACCCAGGAGGUGGAGGUUGCAGUGAGCAGAAAUUGCACCACUGCUUUCCAGCCUGGGAGACAGAGCAAGAUUUCAUCUGAAAAAAAAAAAAAAAAAAAGAA